rnacentral:lncRNA from 1 species
UACCAAGAAGCUUAAAUCUUCAAUAUCAAUCAAAAACCGUGAUAAUCAACCUCCAAAGUUAUUCAUUAAGUUAUAUCAAAAUAGUAAUAAUAAAUAAAUAUGUAAGCAGUUACAUUACAUUCAUGAUUUUUUACAAGUUAAAUUAUCACAAUCAUUGCCCAGACCACUUAUAAAUCACAUCUUCAAGUACAGAUCCAUCUGAAAGUACAACAAAUAUUAGCAAAAAUAAUAUCGAACAGCAAAUGAAUUAACAAAAUGGUAAAGAAAACUCAGUUAAAAGUGAUAAAUAUCACUUCAUCUUUCGAAGAAUUCCCAGAUCUAGCAUGAAAAACAAUUUUAGAUGAAAACUAUGCUUAUGGCCAAGUAAAUUAAUAGAUAAUGCAUAACUUUAGAAAUAUUACAUUAAAAAUACCUCACCAACAAAGAUCUCACAGAUCUGGUGUAGAUCAAAAUUAUACGAACAACAUACUAUGCAGCAAACAGUAAAUUAUUCGAUAGAAAUUAAAUUAAAAUACUGGAUAUUAUUUGAAACUACUUUCUUAAAUUAAAAAAAAUGGAUAUAAGAAAUAAAGGUGUAGAGCUCCCUUCAAUCCAAAGAAAGAUGACACCAGAAAGUGAUAAAGCUCCCUGGAUAUGGAAGCCACAAAACUACCACAUAACACACAAAAAUGGGUAGAAUUGAGGGAUCCAUAGCUAAGCAGCUCUAUCAACAUAGCAACAUCCAUAUUUGAACUAAAAGAAGCUCCACCCCUCAAAAAACCCUAACACCAAAAACUUCAACUUCAUUCAAAUAUAAAAGAAAAAAACUAUGAAAAAUAAGUGAAUCUAGUCAAAAUAAGCAAAAGUAGAAAAAGAUAAUGAGCUGCAAAAAAAUCUAGAGACUAGAUCUUGUUUUUCAGAUCUAUAAGGGAGUACCUUCUUCAAAUAGAUAAAAAGAAAAAAGAAAAGACCAGAGAGAAACUAACUCAACACCGAAAGAUGAGAACCCUAUCUUGGAAAGGCAUCCUUUAGUUCUCUUAAAUAAAGCAACUUGGACUGAAACGCAUCCCACUUUGCCACUUCAAUUACACUUUUUAUUUUUAAAUGAACUAAUAAAAAACCAAACCCUAUCUUGGAAAGGCAUCCUUUAGUUCUCUUAAAUAAAGCAACUUGGACUGAAACGCAUCCCACUUUGCCACUUCAAUUACACUUUUUAUUUUUAAAUGAACUAAUAAAAAACCCGUCUUUUUCUAUGGAAUAUAGUUUUGGAUUCUUAGUUAUUUGAAUACUAUUAUAAAAAUUGAAAAUCGACUAAAAAGAUCUUAUAAAUAAUAGUAAAUUUAAUUUGGAAGGACAAUUAAGAUAAAAAAACAAUAUUAAAAACAAUAUAAUUAAAAAUAAAAUUUAUUUUAGAUAAAUAAAUUAUUUAGUUUUUUUAAUAAAUUUUUAAAAUUUAAUUCAUUCCCUUUUAGUUUUCGCACUAUAUACUUGCGGUUUCAUUGGAGUGGAAGGUUACAAAAGAGAUACAACACAUCUAAUUUUAUUGAUCUUGAAAAUUUAAGGAUUUUUGGAUGUAUAUGUUAUGUGGAUAUAUCUAGUGAAGAUUUAUACAAAAUAAGUCGAAGAAGUGUGACUUCGUCAAUUAUGAAAAAUGUGUGAAUGAGUUCAAGGUAUGGGAUCCGAUUAAAAAGAAGAUGGUAAUAAAUGAAAUGUUGUUUUUAUGAACAAUUAAUUUUGAAGCAUGCAGUUGCAACAAAUGUGUCAACAUUUAAAAGACAAACUUCCAACAAACAAAGUAUUAGCACCCAAAGUGUCUUAAGUACUUCUAGGGGACCAUUUUUGGGUGCAAGUGUUUUAGUUGAAAAGAUGUUUGUUAAAAAUAUAGAAUUGAGGGAUGAGAAAAUAAUUCAAUUAUUAUAUUUUUGUGUUUGACAAGACCUUCGGUCUUAUGCCUACGUACCAACAUAAAAAUGAGGGAUCAAAACCUCGUAGUUCGUGGUAAAAUUUUUUAAAGAAAUUGGUGGAUUGAUUUUAACAAAAGCUUAAAGAUCUUUUGUUAUAAAUGGGAGAAUACUCAAUCAAACAUCCAUCGAUAAUGAAAGUUUUACAACAUUUAAAAGGGAGUGCUCCAACUUGGAUUCAAUAAAUAAGUAUGUCAAUAACCCCUAAUAAAUGGAAAGACUUAUAAUCAAUAUAUUAUGGAAUGGGAGAACUAUAUCUCAACCAAAGAUAACUCAAAUCUAAAUGCCCUCUUUUGAAAAAGUUAAAGCAAAAAGCACAAAAUGGUAAAAAGGAUUAGAUGAGGUUGUUAGUUCUUUUUGUCUUUUGAAAAUAAGGUCAAUAUGAUUAAGUUCAAUUUAUAAGUUUGAUUAAAAAAAUAAAAGUUUUGAAAAUCAAUGGCAUAAGGCCAAAGUUUCUACUCGUUAAAAUAAGCAUAAGUUGAAAACAAGACAAAGAAGGUUUUGAAAUGAGGGAGUGAUUUUAAAAUUUAAGAAGGAAUGGAGGAGAUGAAGGGACUAUCCUAGAUAGAAUUUUAAAAGGUUGGAGUUGAAAUGAUCUGACCAAUGGGAUGUAAUCCACAAGACAAGAAUGUCAAAUAGAAAGUUAUUUUCUUUGUACUAUUGAGCAAGCAACAAGCAUAACCAUCCAAGCAAUUAAUAUAAAGAUCAAAUGGCAUCAAAUAAAGAUAGUCAACAUCCAAGCAAGCACUCCAAAAGCAAGCAGACUUCAGUGUCUUUAAAUGUGUCAGAUGAAAUAUUCCUUGUGGCAAACUCAUAGAAACAACCAUCAGACAUGAACAAUAAGAUUAAGAUAACAACUUAAUCAUAGAGACAAAAUAAUAGAUAAACCAGUGAGGCUCUCAAGGCUUGUCUCAGAUGAAUGGCAUUGACCAAGCUAACUCAGUCUCAAAUAAUGGCAUUGACCAAGUCCUUCAAAGCAUUGGGAUGUUGCAUACUCUAAGUCUAAAAGUUCAAAUCAACAUAUUUUUUAGGAUUUUUGUUAUUAUUAGGUAUCUUAAGGUCCUAAGACCACAAACAAAAUAAAAUCACAAGUGCACAAUAUAUACAAGCACAAAGAUAUGGCUCAAAUGAGCAAAGUGAAAAUGACUGAAACAUAAACAUCUUAAAUGAAAUGUAAAUGAUAAUGACUGAUAAAUGUAUUGAAAUUUAAAUUGCAUUAAGCAAAUGACAUUAAAGAUAAAGCAAUAAUAAAUAAAUGUUAGUGAAGGAAAUCAUUGUUUAAGUCAUUCUUUGGAGAACACGCAACCAUCCACUCACAAGCAUGAAGACAUGAACCAAGACAUCAUCUAUGAGAAGGGCUCCAACUUGGAUAAAUUAACAAGUAUGCCCGUAGCACUCACAAAUGGAAAAAAGGUUAAUUCUUCACACAAUACCAUGAGGGAUGAGAGACUUACAAACUCACUUAUAAGAAUGUUAUGUCUUUGGGACAAAAUUUUGCUCUAUGUUAAGCAAUCGUAAUUGGACUUAUGUAAAAGACACAACUAUUUGAGGUCGGGCAAUAAAACAUUGAUGUUAAUGCAUGCUAGAGACAUGGUACAAAGAACCAAACUCCUAAAGCAUACCACCAAAAAAAUGGGAUGAACCUAUCUCUAUUAACCUCAUGUUGAUUCAUCUAACACAAAGUCAUUGAUGAAUCAACUAGCCUUUGAUUAUUUGAGAAGUCAUUGGUCAAUGAAGGAUUAAGGAAUGUGAGGGAUGAAGAUGAAGGGAGAUGGAAAUGGAAAUCCAAAUUGAUCAAGGGAGGGAUUUCAUCUGAUCAAUAUUAUCCAUUCAUUUUGAGGAAUGAAGUUUACACUUCAUCAACCCCCUAAAUCCAAUAAUGUUGAUCAAAUGGAAGUUCAAAUCAACCAUGAUCAAGGUCAAACAGAAGAUGAAACAACACAAAAUCAACCAAAUAGCUCAACAUAUUAUUUCAAUAAUUAAUGAAAUUAAAGUCAAUUUUAAAUGAAAGAUGAAACAACACAAAAUCAACCAAAUAGCUCAACAUAUUAUUUCAAUAAUUAAUGAAAUUAAAGUCAAUUUUAAAUGAAUAAAAAUGCAUUUUAAAAGGGUAAAAACCUCAAAUCCCUUCAAAUAACCAAAUAAAUGGCCAAGGGAUUUAUCCUAGGUCAAAGGACCUUAGACAAAAAUUUGGGAAUUUUUGGAAAGUCAGAAGUAUUUAAAAUUAAUUAAAAACAAGUCAAAAACUAAUAAAUUCACAAAAAAUAUAAAAUCUAAUCCAAAAAAUGAUUUUAAUUCAAAAUAUGAAAGAGGAAGUUAUUUAAAGAUUUUUGAUGAAAUUCCAAUAUUUUUUGGAUUAAAAAUGAAAUUAUUAUGAAUUUUAUAAAGAUAAGCUAAUUAAAAUAUUAAUCAUAAAAAUAAAGAAAAUAGAAAAAAUAAGGGUCAUCGGAUCUCCCUAAUUAAUUGAGGUGACAUAUCUGAUGGUCACGUGCAUGAAUUCCACGAUGGAUCAAAGUCAAAGCAUGCACAUGAAUGAUAAUCAGAACUAAGGGUCAAGAUUAUAACGUGGCAAAGGAUCAGAUGGUCUGGAUUGAUGUCAGCACUCCACCAGGGCCCUAGCUCUGGUCAUCUUCUCCAGUGACCUCCAUCGGACUGGUCCAACCAAAAAGUUCAUCAAAAACAAAGAUCCGCAUAUGGUUUUAAAGAGAAAAUCAAGGGGAGUACGAAUCUGACCUCCAUUUCUUCCAAUUCUCACUAUACAACGAGAUGUGUGGAAUUGAAAAAUGAGGUGGAUGAACUGGGUUGCUUCGAUUUAACCUCAAAGCAACUUAAUCUUGUUGCCUACAUUGGUAGGACUUCAGCUGACCAAAUAUUAAGUGAAAUGAUGGAGAAUUUAGGGAGAAUCGAAGAAGGAAAGAUUGAGAAAUUUCACCUUCUGUUUGCAAUGAUGAAGCUCGAUCUCAAUUCCAAUUCACUUGGUCCUGCUUCUACUUGCUUGCAGGAGAUGAUUUGAAUGCAAAAGGCUAUGAAUCCUUGGAGUUUCAGUUCCAAAACAGAAUGAGAACUAAAACUCGAUUUCAAAUGAAAUCCUCAAGGUAUUCUAUCAAUGGAGGUUUAGGGGAUUUGUAGAUCAAAGCUUGGUAAAGGUCUCACUUAUGAGGCAUUUUGGUAUGUAUUUUAUGCCUUAGUGAAAAAUUUACAAAAAAAAAAAUUUUCCAACACAUUCAAAAAUUGGUCAAAAUAGUAACUUGUGUGCAUGGGUGCAUGGGCAUGCAUUAAGGCUCAAAUGAUGAUUGCAAAAGGUCUAAAUUCAUGCACAUUUUAUGUUGAAAUCAUUUCAUGAAGCCAUGCAAUGUUGAUUGAAAGUUGAGUACAAAAUUUUCCAAAUAGGGUCAUGCAACCUACCCAUGUGUAAGUCCCUCAAAUUUAAUCCAAAUGUCAUAAUCUUUGACUCUUUGGAAAGUUAGCAUGAAGGGGAACAACUUUGAUGUUGAAACUUUUUCCAUUUGGAGAUUGGAUCAUGAUGAAUUUUGGUGUGGACCUUGAAACAAAAUUGAAGAGGAACUUAUUUAGGACAUUUGUCUCGAAAUGGAACUUAAAAAGCUUGUGAAAUGAGAAAGUUAUGCUUUUUGGAACUUGCCAUAGGCUAUUCUUGCCAAAAUGCGACCAACCAAUAUGACCUAAAAAUGUGAUUUUGAGAUUUCUUGAUUUUGAAGGAACAAUGCUAGAUGUUUUAAGCUCAUGUGAUCAUAUCAUAAUGUAAAGUUAAGCUUGGAGCUUUGUGGGAUAAUUUUAGGUCAAGUUCAUGGGUGAAUCAAAUGCCUUGAAAUUUCAAAAACCAUGACCAAACCAAGUACUUGUAACAUAAAUUGAAUGAGUGUUUGCAUUGUGAAUUGUGGUUUUAGUUGUCAUUAAGUGAUAUUGAAUGAAUGUUGGUAUGAUAGGGUGAUCAAAAUGAAGCAAGGUCAAUGAUCAAAGGAUGCCCGAACUAGGGUUUCUUGAACCACAAGCUUCAUCAAAAACCAUGGUCAGACAAAUUAGGGUUUGGUGAUGUAAAGGACAUAUUGAGAUGCUUCAAAGGUUUGAGUCAUGAAAAAAAAUUGGAUUUUAGGGGUCCUCAAUGACAUGGUCAAGAUCCAUAGUGAAUCAUGACUUGUACAAGCCAAUGAAGGUCGAGCUAGGGUUAGGGUCUUUGGGUGACCAUAUGAACUUGAUGUGUCUUAAAAGGGGGACUCACCAUCCAAUUAGGGUUUUGGAGAGUGAGUGAGAUGUCUUGAAUGAUCCUUCACGAUUUGUUGGAUGCUUGAGGAUAUAUAUUAGGGUUAAGGUGGCUUGGGCAUACCUCAACAUGAUCAGAGGGUCUUGAGGCUUCAUAGAUGAACCUCAUGCCUUGGGUUUGUGGAUUAUUAAAAGUCAUUAAAUACAAAUGCAUAUGAAAUGAUAUGUAUGGGGUGUAUGCUUAUGAAUAAUUAAGGUUUAAGGUGGUGAUGCGGAGGUAGAGUAAAUUUGAGGGUAUAGCCUAUUUGUUGGGAACUUUUAGUCCCAUAGGCAAAGUUAUAUUAAUCCUGGAUGAUUAGACUUUAAGUCCCUCAGGAUAAGCAAUGAAUCUAUCGGGAGAGACUUCUAUCAAGCCCCCCGACAAGAGUUUUAACUAGGUCUCUUAGGUGAGACUUCAGUCUCGCCUCUUUGGCGAGAUUCAUGUGUCAGAUCCCACCCGAGAAAACUCUAAGUCCCUCAGGCGAGGAUUUUAGAUAAAAUGUUUAUUAUGAACUCUUAGUCCCAUGAGCGAACUUAUAGUAAGCCUGGAUGAUGAGAUUGUAAGUCCCUCAGACGAGGCGUUGUACCUCUUGGGCGGGACAUUUAUCACACCCUCAAACAAUAAUUUUAACUAAGUAUUUUAGGAUAGACUUCAAUUGUACCUCUUUGGGUGAGAUUGCCCAAGGAAACUUUAAGUUCCCUAGAUGAUGAGCUUAGAUAGUUCAUUCAUAUUUCCCUAGAAAGCGAUAAGUAUAUUUGCCACGAAGUUCAACAUAUAAAGUAUUGACUUAAUAGGCGACAAAGAUCUUAUCCAUGAAGUCCAACAUAUAAAAUAUUAUCUUAAGAGGUGGCAAGGAUCUUCACCGUGAAAUCCAACAUACAAAACUGCCUUAAGAGGUGAAAAGGAUCUUCACCAUGAAGUCCAACAUACAGAGUAUUUCCUUAAGAGACUGCAAGGAUUUUCUCCACGAAGUCUAACAUAAGAAAUAUUUCCUUAAUAGGCAACAAUAAUCUUCACCGUGAAGUCCAACAUAAUAAAUAUAACCUUAAUAGGCAGUAAUGCUCUUUUCCAUGAAGUCCAACAUAUAAAUUAUUGCGUUAAGUUACGAUAAGGAUUUUCACCAUGAAAUCCAGAAUAAGAAAUAUUGUAUUAAGAGGUGGCAAGGAUCUUUGCCAUGAAGUCUAAUAUACAAAGUAUUUCCUUAAGAGGAGGAAAUAAUCUUUGCCAUGAAGUCCAACAUACAAAGUAUUUCCUUAAGAUGUAGUAAGGAUUUUUUCCAUGAAGUCUUACAUACAAAAUAUUUCCUUAAUAGGCGGAAAGGAUCUUCGUCAUGAAGUCAAACAUACAAAGUAUUACCUUAAGAGGCAAAAAUGGUCUCUCUUAGGGAUCUAGUAUUUUGAUCGCCUCUUAGGGUGAUCCUCUUUAGAGAUUUUAGGUUCCCUUCCCAAAAGGAAUAGCUAGCAAACAUAGAUUCUUGGGAAUAAAAUAGUGAGAGGCCUCUUUAAAAAACCCCGCCUUAUGCAAGGCACAGAGGGAAAAUAGUUCACCCCCUAAAACAAUAUUUCUUUUAAAACGAAAUAGAUAUAAUACUCGCCUAUCAAAAUUAAUACCAAAGUGAUAAACGAUAGUAAAGAAAGUAAACAAAUGACAGUAGGAAAAGUGGAGCUAGUGGGCAUUCCUUUUGGCCUUUAAAGCUUCGAUCUCCCCAGUAGCUUAGAACUCAGUGAGCCUACCUUUUACAGGCAGAACUAGUCUCUCUGCCUCCGGUGAAUCCUCCUGCAAUAGUUGAGCGUAUAGCGCAUAAAUUUGUCCUUCUCUCCCAUGGAAGUCUCCUUUGAUUUAUUGGGCAUAUGGCUUCUUGUGUCAUCUCACCCUCUCUAGUUGAACUUGGCUUCCCAUAAGAAGAUUCACCAUUCACAUACUUCUUCAGGUGUCCCUCCUGGAUCAACCUCUCAUUCUCUUUUUUGAGUUGGUAACAUUCCUCGGUGUGGUGUCCUUUGAAUCUAUGGAACUUGCACCAUUUACCUGGUUUGGGACCCAUCAUGUAUGCUUUUAGAAAUACAUGGGGCAUAAGGAUAUUGUGCAGGUGAAGAACCUCAUGUCAGGUCUGUUUAUGGCGAGUGUUCAUGGGCAUGAAUCUCUUUGCCAUCUUUCCUACUCUCUAUAACACAAUUGUGUCCUUGAUGGGAGAGGUGUAAUUACUCUUCUUUUGAUGGUGCAAACCAUCAACGUUAGGAGCAUAUUUUUUGACGUCUCUCACUUUCUUCUCAAUUUUGCUCUCCUCGCCCUUUAUGUAAUAUUAUACCUUGGUGGCCACCUUUACUAACAAGAGUGUUGGCUUUUAGGCGAGAGACUAUCCUCGCCCUUUAUGUAAUAUUAUACCUUGGUGGCCACCUUUACUAACAAGAGUGUUGGCUUUUAGGCGAGAGACUCAUUAAAGUGUCCCGCCUUAAGUCUAUUUUGGAACACCCUCACAAAAAUUUAUUGGUUUGGUGGGACAAUCUUGGUGGUGGAUUCACUGAACUUGGAGAGAUAGUCCCCUAACAACUUCGAUGGACCCUGUUAUUUUGUUGAACAGUUUGGUAGUGUAAAUUUUCCAAUGUCAACUAGUAGUAAACUGGUGUAUGAGUUUCCUCACUAGCUCCUGAUAAUUGGCGAUGGAAGUUAGGGGUAUACCAUAUACAAUUGUAGGUCAACAUCCCUGAAGGUGUCAAACAGUAAUUUGCAUUACAAGGAGUGGGGCACUCUAGUGAUGACCAUAUGUGUGUUGAUUGAGGUGACUGAAGGAGAAUUGCCAUCCAAGGCGCAGCGAAAUUUAAAAAAUUUCUCCAUUUAGUGAUCCUUACGAAUGGGCAUGAUCAAUGAUAGAAUUAUUACCUCUUGUGGCGAUUCAAACCUCUGGUGCAGAUUUCUGAUAAUGAUCAAAACCUUUGAUACAGAUCCACGGGGCGAUCACGAACGUUGAACGAUGACAACGUCUCUACUCAGUCCACACGAACGGAUUCCUUCAAUCGCAGUGCUAGCUGUUAUGAAUGAAGGCUUUGAGUGAGAGAGAGAUACGAAAUUCCAACUCUUCAGUUGUGUUUUCUGUCUCAGUGAGUUCAUAUGCUUCUACCCAAGGGGUUCUAUUUAUAGAACCACUUGUGUGGGCUUCAAGCCAAAAAGCCCACUUAAGUGCAUUUUGGCCCAUAUCUCACCCUUGAUUCUAUUUAUAAAAUCAUGUUAUUCAGUACAUCUUUGUGUUCAUUUUCAUUUUAUUGUUUUGUUUGCAAAAAUGACGUCCGAAUUUUUGGUAAACAUUACAUCAUGAAACAUAAGAGCUUUACAGGUACGUGCUCAAUAAACAUUGAAAAUUGCUGUAAAUUUUAAGCGCUUGGGAUCGUCUAUUCAGAACAGGUACACUCGGGGCAUUUCCUUAAGGUCCCCAUCAAAUGAUCGUUGAUGUUUUUCCUCAACAGUUGGAAUUUGGUAUCUUAUCCCUGCAGAGUUGGUCCGAGCGUUGGAUUCUUCAAUCCCCAACAGGCUCUCACUGCUGUACUUCCCCAAGCAUUUGUUUCAGAUUAUACAUUCACCAGUAGAGUCGACAGUGUCAGACUGUAUAUCACCAGCGAAGUUGACAGUGACAAACUGUAUCUUCCCAACAAAAGUGGCUGCUCCUCAGAGUUCAAUGCCAGAUCGAUGAUCUCGACGUUAGACCCACGACCUCUUUCCUUGAAGCAGAAUCUCGGUACCGUAUCGGUGUUUGCUUCCCCUGCUGAGUCGUCUCUCUCGCAGAUUAUGGUUGCCAGAACCACUAUCGCUUUCCUCAACAACAAGUUUUCAGUGCCGUUCUCUCCUCAGUCAGAGCCUCAGUAUUUUGUUAUUUGCCCGAACACCGUAUGGCGGAUCAUUUCCCCAGCAGAAUUCUUUGCCUCGGCUUGGCAUUCUAUCUAAUCAAGCAUUUCACAUCCCUGCAUGUAGAAUCAUAUUGCAUUGCAUCCUCCCAAAUUGCGUAGCAUUUCCAUUUUCAUGGAGCAUUACGCCAUUGAAAAAUUCAAACAUACGCAUGUAAAGCAUAAGGCACUCUCGGUAUCCCAAGUGACAAGCCAGAAGUUGUUUCCAGUACUCAGACUGAAGAUUGUUCAUGACUUAUCUUUAUUAUUCCCAACAGGGGUCGUUGGCCCACGCGCAGCCUCAAUUAUCAUUUUCCCUAUUUCUGCCGAUGCUGAUAGGCAUGAAAGUUUCUGGUAUUCAGACCGAAGUGGCAUUUAGGCCAGUUUUCCGAUGUUCAGAUCGAAGAAGUUUCCGACGUUCAAGUCGAUGCAACUUGUGGCAUUCAGGCCAGGUUCCCGGUAUUCAGACCGAAGUGGCAUUCAAGCUAGUUUUCCGAUUUCAGAUCGAAGAAGUUUCCGACGUUCAGGUCGAUGCAACUUGUGGCAUUCAGGCCAAGUUCCCGGUAUUCAGACCGAAGUGACAUUCAGGUCAGUUUUCCGAUGUUCAGAUCGAAGAAGUUUCCGACGUUCAGGUCGAUGCAACUUGUGGCAUUCAGGCCAGGUUCCCGGUAUUCAGACCAAAGUGGCAUUCAGGCCAGUUUUCCGAUGUUCAAAUCGAAGAAGUUUCCGACGUUCAUUCAGGCCAAGUUCCCGGUAUCCAGACCGAAGUGGCAUUCAGGCCAGUUUUCCGAUGUUCAGAUCGAAGAAGUUUCUGACGUUCAUUCAGGCCAAGUUCCCGGUAUUCAGACCGAAGUGGAAUUCAGGCCAGUUUUCCGAUGUUCGGAUCGAAGAAGUUUCUGACGUUCAGGUCGACGCAACUUGUGGCAUUCAGGCCAGUUUUACGGUAUUCAGAUCGAAGUGGCGCUCAGGCCAGUUUCCCGAUGUUCAGACCGAUGUUUGAUAAUCUAAUAUCUUCCAAUGCUCAAAUCGAAGUCAUUUCCAGUAUUCAGACUGAUGAGCGGCAUUCAGGCCAUGGUUAUUUCUGUGUUACCAUUUAUUUUGGUAUCCAGGUUAACAUUCUUUUUCGGUAUUCAGACCGACUCUCACAACUGAUGAGCGGCAUUCAGGCCAUGGUUAUUUCUGUGUUACCAUUUAUUUUGGUAUCCAGGUUAACAUUCUUUUUCGGUAUUCAGACCGACUCUCACCGUACCAGACGGAUUCUUCUUUCAAGACCAUUUAUUUGCCGAUUCUGACAGGCAUCGUUACUUCACUUCACUUCAGUGUAAAUUUUCAGGCUUUUAUUGUAUUCAAUUCCCUGAUACCUCGAAAGUGCGAAAGUCGCUGCUAUCUUCUUUUCGGGUCUCUAGUUGAUUGAAUAGGGGCAGCUGUAGCACCUCAAAUUUGCCCCCCUCAUUCAUGCAUUCAUUUUUUGGUCAUUUAACAUUUCAUAUUGCAUUUCAUCAUGUCAAUCAGAAUUAGAUCCAAGAAGCUUGAAUAUCAUCCAAGACACUUUGUGGGUUCUAUCGGGGUGAUCAGCCAACACAAGGGAAUGAUUUGAGUUACUUCCAACAUGUUCAAAUGGGGUCUAUUCAUCAUUCAAAACGCUAAUCUUGAAGGAGCAAAAGUCUGUUCUUGAGCUGUCAUGCUCGCUAGGCGAGCAGCGUGGUUCGCCUAGCGAGUCUGAACUGUCAUGUUCGCUAGGCGAGCAAAUUCUUCGCUAGGAGAGCAAAUUCUUCGCUAGGCGAAGCGCACGCGUUUUAAAAAUAAAAAAUAUACAGCAGAAAAAAUCUUGGACUUUGACCUCUCUCAUUUGAGCCCACCAAGCCACGAAAAUCAGGUUAUAAAUUCUAAAAAUUCAGUGGAAAAACCCUAGAGAGAGAGAGAGAGGAGAAGAGCUAACAGAAUUCAGAGCAGCCUCCAGAGACACUGAAGAAAAAAAACUCCUUUGCACAGGAUCACCUCUACCAAUUCCAUCUCAUACAAACCCUAAGAUUGCUUUGCAAACCCAACCGGGCAAUUCAAUUUCAUUCGAUCUCUCCGAUCAGGUUUGCCCUAUUUCCAUCACUUUAUGCUUUCAAUCUGAAAUUUCUAAAUGUAUAAGGCAUUAUGGGUGAAUUUGGAAGAGUGGGUAUCGUUAGGUUUUGCACACGGGUUUAGAUAUGCAUGAAUGUGUAAAACAAUACCUUGAAUGUUUAAUCGUUUAAUUUCUGAAAUGUGUACCAUAGGGUUUGGGGUUACUGAAAUCAUACUGUUAUCAAAGAAGAACCUAGAACCCGCAGGCAUUCGCUAGCACCUCGCUAAGCGAACAUGUAGCGACGCUUCGCUAGCACCUCGCUAAGCGAAGCAGUAACGAUGAUGACAGUAACUGUUUUUUCUGUUGGCUCUCUAACCUGUUUUGUGACAUGUUUUCUAUUGCAUCCGGGCACUGUUUACCUGACAUUGUUGUUGCUAUGAUUCUUUUGUUUGAUGCAACUCUCGAUUGCACCCCAUCUUGUUACUCUAACUUGUUUGUUGAGUUUUUGUGAGAGCUCCCAUAACUCCUAAAGAGAUAGCUUGCUUGGUAUUCCGCUUUAUUUGUGGGAUACCAUUGUGGAGAAUUAUUCUGAUUGCUUUGCUGACGUGCUUUCUUUGAUGAUGCUAGCUUGAGAGAUCACCGGGUUUCUUGCUUCUCUAGUUGUUAUUACUUCGGAUUUUUAUCCGUGUGGUAGAUCUCCUGAUCUCUUUAUCUUUCUCGCAUUUUACCGCUUUCUUAGCUGGAAGACCUCGAUAGGAGGCGAUGUUUUUUGUGUGUUUACUUUUGUGCCCAAAGACCUCCAAGAAGAGGCACCAAUGCUAAAGACCUCCACGAAGAGGCAAUUGACGGAUAUAAGGGAUUAGUAGUCAAUCCCCCGUUAUUCAGUGUGUCGUUCUUUAUGCUCGCACUAUGUGUCGAUGCUUCAAAACAAAAGCCCAAGAUCUUUUGUCCGGUCAGUCAGUGGAGAGGGUUCCACCUUUCUGAAUCCCCACUUUUUGUCAUGAGCUCACUCUGUCCAAGGUUAAGAGCUAUGAGGUCUUAUCCUCAUUACCCUUUCGAUCUGCUCACCCUGACGUUCGGUGUCAGUGGUUAAGAGCCCGUUUGAUUACCCUUCCAUGGCUUGUUUGUCGAGGUUGAUAUGACCCCUCUUGACUAAAGCCCUACCCAUGUAUGCUUGAGCCCCCUUGUUGGCGCGUUUACUUUAUGCAUGUUUGUUUUGUAUGGUGUGAUCGUCUCCCCAUAGGAUUUCUAGGCUACAUAUAGUCUCUCAUUUGCAUGUUAAUCAAGGUAGCACGGUUCCUUCGUCUAGGACUUCCUUUUUGCAUGAGCACUCCUAAAACACAAACAAACUCAUUGAUUUUUCUUCUCCUAAGAACACGUUAACUCCUUCUACUACAGGCGAGUAAGUCUCCAAAGGUCUAGCAUCCGGUAGAUUGCAUAGUAACGUUGUUCACCCUAAAAAAAACACAAAACAAACAAAUAGGUCAGCCGAGCUACGAAGACUCUGAUUCUCAUAUUCAGAAGAGAUACGUAUGUAGUGGAUGCGACAUCCGUGCGAGUCAUUUUCUUUUGACCCCUCUUUUAGUAAAUAGUACAUUAGAUAAACCCACACCCUUUGGACAAGAACAACAAGAGUGGAUCCCGUAGAGUACUACGGAUGCGUAGGGGUGCCUAAUACCUUCCUUCGAUCUCGAACUCCCGAACCCAAGAUUUGGUUGCGAGACCUUGUCUUUUCCUUUCCUUUUUCCAAGUUUACUUCGAGCGUUUCCUUUCCCUCCUUUGGGAUAAAUAACGCACGGUGGCGACUCUUCUGUCAUUUUCUUUCCUUUGUUAUCGGUUGUUCCGUUUCGCAUUUAGGUUGCGACAGCUAGCGAAUCUGCUGGGGACCCGGUUUCCCUAAGCGAGUCCCUCCUAGCUUUUGUAGGUUUCUUGUUUGUUGGGUGUUUAUUCUUUUGCACAGUUAUUUAUUUUUCAGCAUUUACCUGCUUUACCUUAUUGCAUUCAUGUACAUAUGAUUUGCUGAAUCUGUUGGAUUCUGUGGGUUGUUUGUUUGUUGGGGUGGGAUGUUCUAUGAGAAAUAAGCCCACUACCCAGGCUUGAGUCUACACAUAGGUUUUAGAGUGGAUAGUCAUGAGGCUUGCGUGGCAUGUUGCUACAUUAAGUCGUUCGUGAGACCCACAUCCAGACGAGGUUUCUUUUGGAUAUAUUCUGUCCUAUGGGUGUUCCAUAACGACAGAUAUUCCUUUAGAAAUCGUUGACUCUGGUGACCAUUUCCCGAGAACUCAGUCGAGGCCUCUCCUCUGAGACGCGUUUAUGUUAGCUCUGGUGGGCGCAUUCUCGCUGCUCAAUCCGAGGACCCCGAGGCUGGGAACUUGCUUUAGGAUAUCCUGUUGAGGGGAGUCAGUGGAGGCUUUUUAUCCCGUAAUAAUGCCAAACCUUCAGUGGUAAACGUAUUAUUCUCGACUGAAGGGCCGAAGUUGACGAACUUCUGUUCUUAGAACCUACCAGUGAGGGGCGGGCUAAAUUCAGGAAACCUUACCGUAAUAAUGCCAAACCUUCAGUGGUAAACGUAUUAUUCUCGACUGAAGGGCCGAAGUUGACGAACUUCUGUUCUUAGAACCUACCAGUGAGGGGCGGGCUAAAUUCAGGAAACCUUAACCUUCAAUCAACCCGGUUUUCUGGUAUUCUUGUUGGAGUAGAGCUUUGAUCUUGUAUUAUAUUCCUUAGUGGGUUUCUCUUCAAACAGUGCAACCUGACAGUUGUCCAAGCGGAUGCAGCAGUCCUGAUUUCCAUGUCACUGCAUUGCAUCACAUCAUUUUGCAUUCAUAUCAUUUAACACAUGUUUAUCCGUUUCUAGGGUUUUAUAUCUUCUUCUUGAUUCCGGUCGGGGUUUUCUGGUUCUCCUAAGAUGGACAUUGGUAGAAAGAGACAUGUCGCCUACAAGUUUCCUGUGGUUUGCUUGGAUCCCAUUCAGCAGCUAAUGAAGUUAAUGGAUCAUGAUUCUCUAGAAAGAUUCCGGAAGGAUUACGGGCUGAUCCUAAGUUUCGUCACGGUUCUCUCCAAAGAUCAACAUGACGCUCUCUUUACAUUGUUGCAGUUCUAUGACCCUCCAUUGAGGUGUUUCACGUUCCUAGAUUAUAUUUUGGUCCCUACUUUGGAGGAGGUUGCUAGUUUUCUCAGAGUUCCUAUCAAGCCGCAGUUGCUAUUCUACAGUUCCGAGUUUCUGCCCGAUCUCAACAUGGUUGCUUCAGCCACAUAUUUGGGGAAAUCAGUCUUUGAAGGCUAUAUGUGUCAGAAGGGAGAAGUUAAUGGUUUUCAUCUGGAGUUCUUACUGGGGAAGCAAGAGAAGCUUGAAGAUGGGUGACCAGAGGGGUUUCAACGCUGUGUUGGCUCUUUGUGUGUAUGGGAUUGUCCUGUCCUAAUGUGGCAUUUGUGGACGUAGAUGCCAUACGCCUCUUCGUGUUGGGAAAUCCGGUGGCCGACCUUGUUGGGAUUUCUUUUCAUUCAGUGCAUCACAGGAAUGAGAAUAGAGGGAGAUUGGUGAAUUGUUGUGCGCUUUUUUUAUAAGUGUUCAGUUCUCACCUACCCAAGUCAGAGCGUUGUUGAUGUCAAGAACUCGUUGAGUUGGUCAAAGAGACUGAUGGGAUAAGAGCAAUAAGAUAUUUCUGGUGGUCAGACCGGAGGUUGCUUCGGGCAGAUAUUAUUCAUAGUUGUGGGAACUUCCCGAAUUACCAUUGGUAGGAAAGAGGAAGUAUCAACUACAAUCCUGCUCUGGCAGCCAGACAGUUCGGAUAUGCUUUAAGAACUCCGCUUUGGAAAGAUUGUGGAAGAAUUUCUGUUUUUCCAUUCUUCAUCUGAUAUGACUAUAUCCGUAAGGCAACUGAGGCUUGGUUCAAGGUGAUCAGAGAGGAAGAACUGUGCUUGGAAAGGAGAUUGUAGAACUUACCCUCAGUAUAGAGAUGGCUUCAGAAGAGUCGAGAGUUUGUCGGCCCAUUUCUAUUGAGAACCUCUGUAUCCCUACCCUGACAAGUCAAAACGGUGAGCGACGAGGAAGUAUGCCACAAAUGAAGAUGCAUGGAGCAGCUUCAAACUGAAAAUCGGAGUUAAGUGUAAGCUGCAGCUGUAUGCAUCAUUCCUGAGGCGGAAUAUAGAAGGGGGAAGCGAGUUCAGCGGAAGCAGCAGAGGAAUAUGUUGUGAGGUGGACUUUCACGGGAGACAGAACAAAGCCUGCAUCAUCCAGUUUGACUUGGGCGAGUCACAGCAGUUAAAAUGCUCAUGGUAAUGUUAGCUGGUUGGCAAGCGCAAUGGAUACAUUUUCAGCUUGUCAGAAAGGUAAAGAGGAGGAAUAGUGGCGAAUUGAUAGUAGCAGAUGGAGAAGUUGAACGAUUUUGUUGAAGGAGAGACAAUGAGCUUCUGUGCGCCAGGUUCAACCAAUGAUUUAUCACAGAUCAACUCAACAAAGUCAAGACAGUAUCUGACGAACUCAAAGUGCUCGGCAGGUUUGAAGCAAUCAGACUUUGAAGAGGUAUUCGAGAGAUGAUGAAAUUCUACAGAGACACAUCACAGUUGGAUGAGUUAUCACAAGGAAUCUGCUUAUCCGGCGUUUGCAGAAUCUCUAGAUCAUCCUGACAGUGCAUACUGGCUGAAGGCAGGUAGCAGUCCUUAUGGGUUGUAUACAGGGGCUGAUUCUAUUUUUUGUUCCUCUCUUACUUAUUUGAUUAGUGAUGAUCCACAGGCUGUUGUGGAGAUCCUUUUUUUGAUGUUACUGUUGCCUAAGCCUUCCUUCAUAUAUGUUCCUUAUUGCAUCUUGAUCUCAAAGUUUAUCCACAAACUCGGUUUCUUGCGCUUUCUGUCUCGAUGUGAGACUGGAUCAAGGGGGUAGAAUACCGUCGUUGGACAUUUUGAUAAACAUGUCAUUGCAUUUACAUAUUCAUUAAAAUGUCUUGCAUAAGCAGGUACCGCUGCGGUGUUCUCAUAUUAUUUGUGUUCCACCUCGUAGGAUAGCUGACGGGAAAUUCACCGUACGGUACCCGCAGAACACUAGAGCAGCAUGGAAAGCCUACAAGCAGAGCCUCGCCGAGAUGAGGAUCCGCAUGACCCAAUUCAUGGAUGUGGUUCAAGGGGUGGCUCAGGGACAACAAGAGCUCAGGCAGAUGAUGCAGAGGAAUCCCGCCGUUACUCAACCAGAGAUGUUGACUGAUCCUCCAGCUGGAGAGGUUAACGGACCCAGUGGACCGGGGCCUACCCCGAUCCCGCAUGUCAACUCCGGUCAACAGCCCGUCCAUGAUGAUCAGGACGACCAGUUCACCCAGAUGCAGGAAGACUUUGGCAUAGGCCAUGGCAUGGACCCCAUGUUUAGAAGGUUAGAGGAGAGUCUGAAGGCAGUGGAAGGACAAAAUCUUCUGGGAGUAGACGUUGCUGACUUGGGAUUGGUCCCAGACGUGAGGGUGCCACCGAAAUUCAAGGUCCCGAUAUUUGACAAAUACAGUGGCAACUCUUGCCCAAAGACUCAGGUGCAAGCCUAUUUCCGUAAAAUGGUUGCAUACUCUGACAAUGAAAAGUUGCUUAUGUACUUUUUCCAGGAUAACCUAGCUGGGGCAUCCUUGGAAUGGUAUAUGAGGCUGGACAGAGCCCACAUCCGCUGCUGGAGGGAUUUGGCUGAGGCUUUCGUGAAGCAGUAUCAGUAUAAUGCCGACAUGGCUCCGGACAGAACUCAACUUCAAAAUCUGUCUCUUAAAAGCAAUGAGUGCUUCAGGGAAUACACUCAACGCUGGAGGGAGACAACUUCUCGUGUUCAACCUCCUAUGUUGGAGAAGGAAAUGGCUAACAUGUUCAUGAACACUCUUCCUGGACCUUACUUGGAACGCCUGGUGGGUUGCAAUGCCUCCAACUUUGCUGAUGUAGUCUCUACCGGCGAGAGGGUGGAGAACUAUUUGAAGACAUGCAAGAUCUAGAGUGGAGGUGGAUCUUCAUCAGGGGUGAAGAAGUCGUUCAUUCAGGGACAGAAGAGGAGAGAAGGGGAUGCAAAUGCCAUAUCUUCUUAUCAGAAAAGGGGUAACCGGAGGAAUAGCUUUCAGAACUAUCAUCAACCACCGUAUGUUGCGGCUGUGACCAUUCCGGCUGCAGCACCACUACAACAACAACAACCGCAACGUCAGCAAACUCAGUACCAACAACAACAACCGGGUAACAAACCCGCCUAUCAACAGAGGCAAAGGAUGAUGGACCAACGUUUCGACACUCUUUCAAUGUCGUACGCUCAGUUGCUUUCUAGUCUUCAACAACUACAACUUAUGCAGUUACGCACUCUGGCUCCUCCUGUUGGUAGGCUUCUGGUGGGUUACGACGCCAACGCUAGGUGUAGCUUCCACUCUGGGGCACCUGGCCACAAUAUUGAAAACUGCAAAGCUUUUAAGCAUGUAGUUCAGGACCUCAUAGAUUCAAAGGCCAUCAACCUUGCACCGGCUCCUAAUGUCGUCAACAAUCCCAUGCCACAUUAUGGUAGUGCGAAUGUUAAUAUGAUGGAAGGGGAAGCCAGAUCUGUAAAAGAUGUGUUGAAGUUAAGGACUCCGUUGUUGGAUAUCAAAGGCUACUUGUUGAAGGCCGAUGUUUUCCCUGGUUGUGGGAAGGGUUGUGUGGAUUGUGCUACUCAGAGUGGAGCCUGUUUGAAGCUACAACAUGGUAUCCAGGCCUUGCUCGACGAAGGUACCCUCCAGGUUAAAGAUUUGUCUGUCCAAGAGUCUGUGGAAGGGGUUGAGGAAGAGGGGUUUGAGGAUGCUACUGAUGAAUUCACAUAUGUUGUUCCUACUGGUUCUGUAAGCCAUGAUGAUGUAUUUAAUUUUUCCAAUGUUGUUGCUGAUAUCCCAAACAAUAUGUUUGAUUCUAAUGUAAUUGAACUUGAUUCCGAUGUUUCGGAUGUUUAUGUUUCAAUGAAUGAGAUUUCAGAGUAUGACUAUGAUGUUGCUACUAUCACCAUUUUCUACCCAACUAAUCAGAUCAAUGUACCAGAAGCGCAAUCGGAUGUUUAUGUUUCAAUGAAUGAGAUUUCAGAGUAUGACUAUGAUGUUGCUACUAUCACCAUUUUCUACCCAACUAAUCAGAUCAAUGUACCAGAAGCGCAACCGGUGCCACCAGCGCGACCGUCCGCUAUGACUAUCACAACCCCUGGUCCUUUACCUUUCACCAGCGAAAGGGCCAUUCCUUGGGAUUAUGGGGGGAGUGUGUACGCGCACGAUCAUGGGAUAGAACGGCCACUGAAGGUAGAAGAGGGUCAGAAGAUUGAACUUGAAGUUGAAGGUCCCGCAGUGGACAAUGUUGGUGGAAUCGGGCGAUUCACCAAGAGUGGUAGACUGUUCUCACCACCCGUUACCCAAGCUGAUAGUGCUGACGCUGCGACGAAAGCCAAAGGCAAGCAAGUCGUGAAUGAGGGUGCCUCUGCACCCCAGGCUGGUUCUGAGCCCACUUUUGCGAAGGAUGUGGACGAGCUUUUGAGAAUUAUAAAGAAAAGUGACUACAAGGUAGUCGAUCAGUUGAUUCAGACUCCGUCCAAGAUAUCCAUUCUCUCACUCCUAUUGUGUUCGGAGGCGCACAGGGAGGCACUGCUGAAAGUCCUAAAUGCUGCAUAUGUGCCUCAGGAGAUCUCAGUGAACCAACUGGAAGGAAUCGUUGCAAAUGUUCAUGCAAGCAACGGGUUAGGUUUUACUGAUUCUAACUUAACACCAGCUGGACGCAACCAUAACAAAGAUUUGCACAUCUCGAUGGAAUGCAAAGACACCGUGUUAUAUCAUGUUCUGGUGGAUACAGGUUCCUCUCUCAAUGUGCUACCCAAGAGAGCCCUUGUUGGUGUAAGCCCUAGAGGCCAAUAAUUUUUGGUACUUGUAUCGAAUUAUUUAUUAAUAAUAAAAGGCAUUUUCUUUAUUAUGGUUGAUUAAUAAAGUCCCUAGAAUAGAUAGUCCGUUUAAUGUAUUAAGUGUGACUUAAUCAUGAGAACACAUUAAACAUAAGGACACUAUUCUUAAAGUAUCCGUAGUCGAGCUUUAAAUGUGAAGUGGGAUAACAUUAAAGCAUUAAGACUAUUAUGUUUGUAGACUGAUGAUCACAUCUCAUGGAUCAUGGAUAAAGAGUUAUCAAGUCUUAAACAUAGGUAUGAAUAUUAGGAGUAAUAUUUAUACCGGAUUGACCCGCUAUGAGAAUACUAUAUAGAAAGUUAUGCAAAGUGUCAUAAGUUAUUCUCAUGGUGAUAAUAGUGUAUACCACUCUUCGACCUGAAACCACUAUGGAUCCUAGAUGUAGAGUCGAGUGCUUUAUUGCUGAUCCAACGUUGUCCGUAACUGGAUAACCAUAAAGACAGUUGAUGGGUACUCCACGAAGCAUGCUGAGGGACAUGAGUGUCCUAGAUGGAAUUUGCCAAUCCUGCGUAACAGGAUAAAUGUCUAUGGGCCCAAUAUUGAACUGGACAAGGGUGACACGGUCUAUACCUUGUGUUCAAUAUAGACAUAAGGGCAAAGGGGUAAUUAUACACAUAAUUAUUAUCACAGGAGGUUUUGUCAGAUCACAUGACAUUUUCGUGACUUGGGUAGCAGUGAUGUGUUGCUAGAUACCGCUCACUGUUUAUUAUGUUAAAUGCGUGAUUUAAUAUAAUUGCCAACGCCACGAAAACCUAUAGGGUCACACACAAAGGACGGAUUGAUGAGAGAUAGAGUAACUAAGGAACACCGUAAGGUACGGUGCACUUAAGUGAAUUGUAGAACAUCGUAAGGUAUGGUGUACUUAAGUAGAAUACGAAAUAUGGUAAGGUACCAAAUACUUAAGUGAUUUUGGCAUAUUAUGAGAUAUAGGCCAAAAUGCACUUAAGUGGGCUUUUUGGCUUGAAGCCCACACAAGUGGUUCUAUAAAUAGAACCCCUUGGGUAGAAGCAUUAACACUCCAGACAACACAACUGAAGAGUUGGAAUUUCGUAUCUCUCUCUCUCACUCAAAGCCUUCACUCACAAACAGCUAGCACUGCGAUUGAAGGAAUCCGUUCGUGUGGACUGAGUAGAGACGUUGUCAUCGUUCAACGUUCGUGAUCGCCCCGUGGAUCUGUAUCAAAGGUUGAUCAUUGUCAGAAAUCUGCACCAAAGGUUUGAAUCUCCACAAGAGGUAACGAUUCUAUCACUGAUCAUGCUCAUUCGUAAGGAUCAUUAAAGGAGAAAUUUUUAUAUUCCGCUGCGCCUUGGAUGGCUAUUCUCCUUCAGCCCUGUCAAGGUUAGAAGUGGAGGGUUUGGUCCUGAAGCCUUCAGAUCUUAUUGUGAGAGCCUUUGAUGGUUCUAAGAGGUCGGUGUUCGGAGAGGUAGAAUUACCAAUUCAGAUUGGAUCACAAACCUUCAACACCGUCUUCUAUGUGAUGGAUAUCAGUCCUUCCUAUAGUUGCCUGCUGGGUCGUCCUUGGAUCCACAACGCUAGGGCAGUCUCUUCAACUUUACAUAAGAAGAUUAAAUUCCCAGUCAAUGGAAGGAUUAUCACCGUCUGUGGUGAGGAGGAUAUUCUGGUUAGUAACCUGUCUACAUUCAAGUAUGUAGAGGUAGAAGGUGAAUUUCAUGAGACCCUAUGUCAGGCCUUUGAGGCAGUUCAGAUCAAGGACGCAGCUCCGGUGGAAGAAGUUUUAAAGCGGGUGCCAUCUAUCUCUCUUCAAGCAGGCAAGACCUUGGGUAGAUUCCGGGUGUUGCCCCGGAUUGGGACGUCUGGUUUUGAGUUCACCAAUGAAAAGAAGACCAAGUUCGGGAUUGGGUAUCAGCCCAACUCUGACUUCUACAACUUCAACACUUCAGGACUGUCAGGGGCCGAUUACUUUCUCCAGCCGCUGCGUCAUCCAUAUGGCCAAGGUCUCUGCGCGUCAACGCAUGAAGGAUGGCAGAUAGUGAUUGCGACAUCGAUAACUGGGUGCGUCCGAGGAUCCCGGGUGAAGUCAUCAACAAUUGGUCUUCUGAGGAGAUUGUCCAAGUCACUUUUCUGGAGGAGUAAUUUUUCUUGCUUAUUCAUGCAUGUCUAAGUCUUACGUCCCGCCCAGGGCGUAAUGACUCAUUGUAGGGCUCAUCUAUGUGAAUGCCUGCAUUUUUAUCAUAAAUAAAGGACGUCUUUUUGCAUUCAAAAUUUUGUUCACUGUCUUUCCAUUUUUGCAGUUUUCAAAAAUAAAAAAAAAUAUCUGGCAAUGUUUUGUUUAGUUUUCACUUUUUUCACACUCAUAAGCACAUACCAUCACUCAUGCAGAUGCACAUCACUGGAUCCUGUUGAUAACAGUUCUGCUAUGGCUCGCUUCGACUUGGAAAAUCCGAUCUUUCAAACUGAAGAAGAGGGUGAUGGAGACUGUGAACUCCCUGAAGAAAUUGCCAGGCUAUUAAAGCAAGAGGAAAGGGUCAUUCAACCGCAUCAAGAGUCUACUGAAGUGAUUAAUCUUGGCACCGAGGAUGUUAAGAAAGAAAUCAAGAUAUGGGCUGCUUUGGAAGACGAUGUGAAGAAGGGGUUGAUUGAAUUACUGCAAGAGUAUGUUGACAUCUUCGCCUGGUCUUAUUAGGACAUGCCCGGGCUUGACACAGACAUCGUGGUGCACCGCUUGCCUCUCAAAGAAGGUUGUCCUCCGGUCAAGCAGAAGCUUAGAAGAACAAGACCAGAGAUGGCUGUCAAGAUAAAGGAAGAAGUGCAAAAACAGUUGGAUGCAGGGUUUCUAGCAGUCACCAAUUAUCCGCCAUGGGUUGCAAACAUCGUUCCAGUAACUAAGAAGGAUGGAAAGGUACAGAUGUGUGUCAACUACCGGGAUCUGAGCAGAGCUAGCCCUAAGGAUGAUUUCUCAUUACCUCACAUCGACGUUUUUGUGGAUAACACGGCUCAGUUCUCGGUAUUCUCCUUCAUGGAUGGCUUUUCGGGCUAUAAUCAAAUCAAGAUGGCACCAGAAGAUAUGGAGAACACAACUUUCAUAACCCCAUGGGGCACCUCCUGCUACAAGGUGAUGUCGUUUGGUCUGAAAAAUGUUGGGGCAACAUAUCAACGAGCGAUGGUGACUCUUUUCCAUGAUAUGAUUCAUCAUGAAAUCGAGGUUUAUGUUGAUGAUAUGAUUGCCAAAUCUCAGACGGAAGAAGAACAUUUGGUGAAUUUGCAGAUCAACGAGCGAUGGUGACUCUUUUCCAUGAUAUGAUUCAUCAUGAAAUCGAGGUUUAUGUUGAUGAUAUGAUUGCCAAAUCUCAGACGGAAGAAGAACAUUUGGUGAAUUUGCAGAAACUGUUUGAGAGUUUGAGGAAAUUCAAGCUGAGGCUUAAUCCGAACAAGUGUACUUUCGGGGUGAGAUCUGGAAAACUAUUGGGUUUUGUUGUUAGUGAAAAAGGGAUUGAGGUGGACCCGGCCAAAGUGAAAGCAAUACAAGAAAUGCCUGAGCCAAGAACAGAGAAACAAGUUCGUGGUUUCUUAGGGAGGUUGAACUACAUUGCAAGGUUCAUCUCUGACCUAACAGCCACGUGUGAGCCAAUUUUCAAAUUGCUAAGGAAAGACCAGGCUAUCAGGUGGAAUGACGAUUGUCAAAGGGCUUUCGAGAAGAUCAAAGAGUAUUUGCAGAAUCCUCCAAUCCUUAUGCCUCCGGUCCUAGGGAGACCACUGAUUAUGUACUUGACAGUACUUGACAAUUCUAUAGGUUGUGUUCUCGGUCAACACGACGAGACAGGUAGGAAAGAGCAUGCCAUCUACUACCUGAGUAAGAAAUUCACAGACUGCGAGUCGAGAUACUCAAUGCUUGAAAAGACAUGUUGUGCACUUGCAUGGGCUGCUAAGCGUUUGAGACAAUACAUGCUGACUCACACAACCUUAUUGAUCUCCAAGAUGGAUCCAGUCAAGUAUAUAUUCGAGAAGCCAACUCUCACCGGACGGGUUGCUCGUUGGCAAAUGGUACUAACAGAGUAUGAUAUCCAGUAUACAUCCCAAAAAGCCAUCAAGGGGAGUAUUCUGUCAGACUAUCUUGCUCAACAGUCGAUUGAAGAUUAUGAGCCGAUGAAGUUUGAUUUUCCGGAUAAAGACAUCAUGUUCCUCAAGAUGAAAGACUGCGAAGAGCCAAUUGUUGAGGAGGGACCUGAUCCAGACGAAAAUUGGACUUUGUUGUUUGAUGGGGCUGUCAAUGCCAGAGGAAGUGGAAUUGGUGCUGUCAUUACUACUCCGAAAGGUGCCCACAUGCCUUUCACCGCUCGUCUAACUUUUGAGUGCACCAAUAAUGAAGCUGAGUAUGAAGCUUGUAUCUUGGGUAUUGAGCAAGCCAUUGAUUUGAGAAUCAAGACUCUGGACAUCUUCGGAGAUUCAUCUCUAGUGAUCAAUCAAGUGAAUGGUGAUUGGAACACUCUCCAUCCCAAUCUGAUCCCUUACAGGGAUUACACGAGAAGAUUAUUGACUUUAUUCACAAUAGUAAAGUUGUAUCAUAUACCUCGUGAUGAGAAUCAGAUGAUAGAUGCUCUUGCCACUCUAUCCUCCAUGAUCAACGUGAUUCGGUGGAACCAUGAUCCCAGGAUUGAUAUUAUGCGUCUCGACAGGGCCACGUAUGUGUUUGCUGCUGAACUGGUAGUUGACGACAAGCCCUGGUACCACGACAUCAAGUGUUUUCUGAAGAAUCAAGAGUACCCUGCAAGGGCAUCCAACAAUGAUAGAAAGACUUUGAGAAGAUUGGCAGGCAGUUUCUUCUUGAACAAAGACGAUGUGGUGUAUAAGAGGAACUUCGACAUGGUUUUGCUUAGAUGCGUGGAUAGACACGAAGCAUACAUGUUAAUGCAGGAAGUUCAUGAAGGCUCCUUCGGUACUCAUGUCGGGGGACAUGCAAUGGCUAAGAAAUUGUUAAGAGCAGGUUAUUACUGGAUGACCAUGGAAUCUGAUUGUUUCAAAUAUGCUUGGAAGUGUCAUAAAUGCCAGAUUUAUGUUGAUAAGGUACAUGUGCCGCCAAAUCCUUUGAAUGUGAUGUCUUCGCCAUGGCCUUUUGCUAUGUGGGGCAUUGAUAUGAGUGGAAGGAUUGAGCCGACCGCCUCCAAUGGGCAUCGCUUCAUCCUUGUUGCCAUAGACUAUUUCACCAAGUGGGUCGAAGCAGCAUCAUUCGCGAAUGUCACCAGACAUGUGGGUGCCCGAUUCAUUAAGAAAGAAAUCAUUUGUCGUUAUGGGAUUCCCGAAAGAAUCAUUACUGAUAAUGGUUCUAAUCUCAAUAACAAAAUGAUGAAGGAGUUGUGCCAGAACUUCAACAUUCAGCAUCACAAUUCUUCCCCUUAUCGCCCUAAGAUGAACGGUGUUGUUAAGGCAGCAAAUAAGAACAUAAAGAAGAUUGUGCAGAAGAUGGUCGUCACGUACAGAGAUUGGCAUGAGAUGCUACCCUUCGCCUUGCAUGGAUACCGUACUUCAGUACGUACAUCGACCGGGGCAACCCCUUACUCCCUUGUGUAUGGUAUGGAAGCAGUCCUACCUGUUGAAGUGGAGAUUCCUUCUCUAAGAGUCCUGUUGGAUGUCAAGUUAGACGAAGCUGAAUGGAUUCAGACAAGGUUCAAUGAGUUGAGUCUUAUCGAAGAGAAGCGAAUGGCAGCCGUUUGUCAUGGGCAGUUGUAUCAGAGUCGGAUGAAGAGAGCCUUUCAUCAGAAAAUGCGUCCUCGAUGUUUCCAAGUUGGAGAUUUAGUGUUGAAAAGGAUCCUUCCUCCUCAGACAGAUCACAGGGGCACGUGGACUCCUAACUAUGAUGGACCAUACAUUAUCACCAAUAUUUUCGAUGGUGGGGCCUUAAUGCUUGCAACUAUGGAUGGUGAAAACUUCACUUCCCCUGUGAACUCAGACGCAGUAAAAAAUACUUCGCAUAAAAUAGACCCGAUGGACAAUAAAAAGAAUAGUCCAGGCAAAAAAAAUGGGCGUCCCGACGAACCAAGAAAAUGAAAAGGUUCGGGCAAAAAAUAGGGAUUAAAAAUGAAAAGAUUGUACACCCGGUAAGUUGAAAACCUAAAAAGGCAACUUAGGCAAAAAUGGGUAUCCUGGUGGAUUGAAAACCCGAAAGGGCGAUCCAGGCAAAAGUUAGGGAUUAAGCGAAUGGCUGCGUUCUGAGUAGUUCUGAAUAUCAUCUCGUGUCGAUAACCGGAAACUUCAGAAGGAUAGGAAACAAUCCAAUGACCUUUUUCAGAAAGUCGAUCAUCUGGAGGAUCUUGAAGACGAGCGAGUCAUAGCAGAAUUGGAACCCGAUAGAAAUCCAUUUGACGUUGCCAUUAGAUUAAUUUCUGUUUUUAUCUUUUGUGCAAUUACCUCUUUCCAGGGAUUGCUUCCUGAUGUAAAUGCCUAUUCAGAGGCCACUCAAUCAAUAAAAUCAUGUUAUUUAGUACAUCUCUGUGUUCAUUUUCAUUUUACUGUUUUGUUUGCAAAAAUGACGUCCGAAUUUUUGGUAAACAUUGCAUCAUGAAACAUAAGAGCUUUACAGGUACGUGCUCAAUAAACAUUGAAAAUUGCUGUAAAUUUUAAGCGUUUGGGAUCGUCUAUUCAGAACAGGUACACUCGGGGCAUUUCCUUAAGGUCCCCAUCAAAUGAUCGCGGAUGUUUUUCCUCAACAGUUGGAAUUUGGUAUCUUAUCCCUGCAGAGCUGGUCCGAGCGUUGGAUUCUUCAAUCCCCAGCAGGCUCUCACUGCUGUACUUCCCCAAGCAUUUGUUUCAGAUUAUACAUUCACCAGUAGAAUCGACAAUGUCAGACUGUAUAUCACCAGCGAAGUUGACAGUGACAGACUGUAUCUUCCCAACAAAAGCGGCUGCUCCUCAGAGUUUGAUGCCAGAUCGAUGAUCUCGACGCUAGACCCACGGUCUCUUUCCUUGAAGCAGAAUCUCGGUACCGUAUCGGUGUUUGCUUCCCCUGCUGAGUCGUCUCUCUCGCAGAUUAUGGUUGCCAGAACCACUGUCGCUUUCCUCGAUAACAAGUUUUUAGUGCCGUUCUCUCCUCAGUCAGAGCCUCGGUAUUUUGUUAUUUGCCCGAACACCGUAUGGCGGAUCAUUUCCCCAGUAGAAUUCUUUGCCUCGGCUUGGUAUUCUAUCUAAUCAAGCAUUUCGCAUCCCUGCAUGUAGAAUCAUAUUGCAUUGCAUCCUCCCAAAUUGCGUAGCAUUUCCAUUUUCAUGGAGCAUUACGCCAUUGAAAAAUUCAAACAUACGCAUGUAAAGCAUAAGGCACUCUCGGUAUCCCAAGUGACAAGCCAGAAGUUGUUUCCAGUACUCAGACUGAAGAUUGUUCAUGACUUAUCUUUAUUAUUCCCAGCAGGGGUCGUUGGCCCACGCGCCGCCUCAAUUAUCAUUUUCCCUAUUUCUGCCGAUGCUAACAGGCAUGAAAGUUUCCGGUAUUCAGACCAAAGUGGCAUUCAGUCCAGUUUUCCGAUGUUCAGAUCGAAGAAGUUUCCGACGUUCAGGUCGAUGCAACUUGUGGCAUUCAGGCCAGGUUCCCGGUAUUCAGACCGAAGUGGCAUUCAGGCCAGUUUUUCGAUGUUCAGAUCGAAGAAGUUUCCGAUGUUCAGGUCGAUGUAACUUGUGGCAUUCAGGCCAAGUUCCCGGUAUUCAGACCGAAGUGGCAUUCAGGCCAGUUUUCCGAUGUUCAGAUCGAAGAAGUUUCCGACGUUCAGGUCGAUUCAACUUGUGGCAUUCAGGCCAGGUUCCCGGUAUUCAGACCGAAGUGGCAUUAAGGCCAGUUUCCCGAUGUUCAAAUCGAAGAAGUUUCCGACGUUUAUUCAGGCCAAGUUCCCGGUAUCCAGACCGAAAUGGCAUUCAGGCCAGUUUUCCGAUGUUCAGAUCGAAGAAGUUUCUGACGUUCAUUCAGGCCAAGUUCCCGGUAUCCAGACCAAAGUGGCAUUCAGGCCAGUUUUCCGAUGUUCGGAUCGAAGAAGUUUCCGACGUUCAGGUCGACGCAACUUCUGGCAUCCAGGCCAGUUUUACGGUAUUCAGACCGAAGUGGCGCUCAGGCCAGUUUCCCGGUGUUCAUACCGAUGUUUGAUAAUCUAAUAUCUUCCGAUGCUCAAAUCGAAGUCAUUUCCAAUAUUCAGACUGAUGAGCGACAUUCAGGCCAUGGUUAUUUCUGUGUUACCAUUUAUUUUGGUAUCCAGGUUAACAUUCUUUUUCGAUAUUCAGACCGACUCUCACCGUACAAGACGGAUUCUUCUUUCAAGACCAUUUAUUUGCUGAUUUUGACAGGCAUCGUUACUUCACUUCACUUCAGUGUAAAUUUUCAGGCUUUUAUUGUAUUCAAUUCCCUGAUACCUCGAAAGUGCGAAAGCCGCUGCUAUCUUCUUUUCGGGUCUCCAGUUGAUUGAAUAGGGGCAGCUGUAGCACCUCAAAUUUGCCCCCCUUAUUCAUGCAUUCAUUUUUUGGUCAUUUAACAUUUCAUAUUGUAUUUCAUCAUGUCAAUCAGAAUUAGAUCCAAGAAGCUUGAAUAUCAUCCAAGACACUUUGUGGGUUCUAUCGGGGUGAUCAACCAACACAAGGGAAUGAUUUGAGUUACUUCCAACAUGUUCAAAUAGGGUCUAUUCAUCAUUCAAAACGCUAAUCUUGAAGGAGCAAAAGUCUAUUCCUGAGUUGUCAUGCUCGCUAGGCGAGCAGCGUGGUUCGCCUAGCGAGUCUGAACUGUCAUGCUCGCUAGGCGAGCAAAUUCUUCGCUAGGCGAAGCGCACGCGUUUUAAAAAUAAAAAAUAUACAGCAGAAAAAUCUUGGACUUGGACCUAUCUCAUUUGAGCCCACCAAACAACAAAAAUCAAGUUAUAAAUUCUAAAAAUUCAGUGGAAAAACCCUAGAGAGAGAGAGAGAGAGGAGAAGAGCUAACAGAAUUCAGAGCAGCCUCCAGAGACACUGAAGAAAAAAAACUCCUUUGCACAGGAUCACCUCUACCAAUUCCAUCUCAUACAAACCCUAAGAUUGCUUUGCAAACCCAACUGGGCAAUUCAAUUUCAUUCGAUCUCUCCGAUCAGGUUUGCCCUAUUUCCAUCACUUUAUGCUUUCAAUCUGAAAUUUCUAAAUGUAUAAGGUAUUAUGGGUGAAUUUGGAAGAGUUUGUAUCGUUAGGUUUUGCACACGGGUUUAGAUAUGCAUGAAUGUGUAAAACAAUGCCUUGAAUGUUUAAUCGUUUAAUUUCUGAAAUGUGUACCAUAGGGUUUGGGGUUACUGAAAUCGGACUGUUAUCAAAGAAGAACCUAGAACCCGCAGGCAUUCGCUAGCACCUCGCUAAGCGAACAUGUAGCGACGCUUCGUUAGCACCUCGCUAAGCGAAGCAGUAGCGAUGAUGACAGUAUCUAUUUUUUCUGUUGGCUCUAUAACCUGUUUUGUGACAUGUUUUCUAUUGCAUCUGGGUAAUGUUUACCUGACAUUAUUGUUGCUAUGAUUCUUUUGUUUGGUGCAACUCUUGAUUGCACCCCAUCUUGUUACUCUAACUUGUUUGUUGAGUUUUUGUGAGAGCUCCCAUAACUCCUGAAGAGAUAGCUUGCUUGGUAUUCCACUUUAUUUGUGGGAUACCAUUGUGGAGAAUUAUUCUUAUUGCUUUGCUGACGUGCUUUCUUUAAUGAUGCUAGCUUGAGAGAUCACCGGGUUUCUUGCUUCUCUAGUUGUUAUUACUUCGGAUUUUUAUCCAUGUGGUAGAUCUCCUGAUCUCUUUAUCUUUCCCGCAUUUUACCGCUUUCUUAGCUGGAAGACCUCGAUAGGAGGCGAUGUUUUUGUGUGUGUUUACUUUUGUGCCCAAAUACCUCCAAGAAGAGGCACCAGUGCUAAAGACCUCCACAAAGAGGCAAUUGAAGGAUAAAAGGGAUUAGUAGCCAAUCCCCCGUUAUUCAGUGUGUCGUUCUUUAUGCUCGCACUACGUGUCGAUGCUUCAAAACAAAAGCCCAAGAUCUUUUGUCCGGUCAGUCAGUGGAGAGGCUUCCACCUUUCUGAAUCCCCACUUUUUGUCAUGAGCUCACUCUGUCCAGGAUUAAGAGCUAUGAGGUCUUAUCCUCAUUACCCUUUCGAUCUGCUCACCCUGACGUUCAGUGUCAGUGGUUAAGAGCCCGUUUGAUUACCCUUCCAUGGCUUGUUUGUCGAGGUUGAUAUGACCCCUCUUGACUAAAGCCCUACCCAUGUAUGCUUGAGCCCCCUUGUUGGUGCGUUUACUUUAUGCAUGUUUGUUUUGUAUGGUGUGAUCGUCUCCCCAUAGGAUUGCUAGGCUACGUAUAGUCUCUCGUUUGCAUGUCAAUCAAGGUAGCACGGUUCCUUCGUCUAGGACUUCCUUUUUGCAUGAGCACUCCUAAAACACAAACAAACUCAUUGAUUUUUCUUCUCCUAAGAACAUGUUAACUCCUUCUACUACAGGCGAGUAAGUCUCUAAAGGUCGAGCAUCCGGUAGAUUGCGUAGUAACGUCGUUCACCCUAAAAAAACACACAAAACAAACAAAUAGGUCAGCCGAGCUACGAAGACUCUGAUUCUCAUAUUCAGAAGAGAUACGUAUGUAGUGGAUGCGACAUCCGUGCGAGUCAUUUUCUUUUGACCCCUCUUUUAGUAAAUAGUAUAUUAGAUAAACCCACACCCUUUGGACAAGAACAACAAGAGUGGAUCCCGUAAAGUACUAAGGAUGCGUAGGGGUGCUAAUACCUUCCCUUCGCAUAAUCGACUCCCGAACCCAAGAUUUGGUUACGAGACCUUGUCUUUUCCUUUCCUUUUUCCAAGUUUACUUCGAGCGUUUCCUUUCCCUCAUUUGGGAUAAAUAACGCACAGUGGCGACUCUUCUGUCAUUUUCUUUCCUUUGUUGCCGGUUGUUCCGUUUCGCAUUUAGGUUGCGACAGCUAGCGACUCAGCUAGGGACCCGGUUUCCCUAAGCGAGUCCCUCCUAGAUUUUGUAGGUUUCUUGUUUGUUGGGUGUUUAUUCUUUUGCACAAUUAUUUAUUUUUCAGCAUUUACCUGCUUUACCUUAUUGCAUUCAUGUACAUAUGAUUUGCUGAAUCUGUUGGAUUCUGUGGGUUGUUUGUUUAUUGGGGUGGGAUGUUCUAUGAGAAAUAAGCCCACUACCCAGGCUUGAGUGUAUACACAGGUUUUAGAGUGGAUAAUCAUGAGGCUUGCGUGGCGUGUUGCUACGUUAAGUCGUUCGUGAAGAACCACACCCAGACGAGGUUUCUUUUGGAUAUAUUAUGUCUUACGGGUGUUCCGUAACGGUAGGAUGUUCCUCUAGAAAUCGUCGACUCUGGUGACCAUUUCCCGAGAACUCAGUCGAGGCCUCUCCUCCGAGACGUGAUUAUGUUAGCUCUGGUGGGCGCAUUCUCGCUGCUCAAUCCGAGGAUCCCGAGACUGGGAACUUGCUAUUAGGAUGUCCUGUUGAGGGGAGUCAAUGGAGGUCUUUUGUCCCGUAAUAAUACCAAACCUUCAGUGGUAAACGUAUUAUUCGCGACUGAAGGGCUGAAGCUGACGAACUUCUGUUCUUAGAACCUACCAGUGAGGGGCGGGCUAAAUUCAGGAAACCUUAACCUCCAACCAACCCGGUUUUCUGGAGCAGAGUUUUGGUCUUGUAUUAUAUUCCUCAGUGAAUUUCUCUCCAGGCAGUGCAACCUGACAGAUGUUCAAGCGGAUCCAUCAAUUCUGAUUGACAUGCCUUUGCAUUGCAUAACAUCAUCUGCAUAUUUGCAUCCAACAUCUCAUGCUUAUUCAUUUGCAGGGUAUUCCCUUUCAAAACGGGGGUGCCUUAAAACUGAACAAGCAGUGCAUCGCAUACCAUGCAUAUUAACCCUUGUCUGUUUUGCAGGUGUCACCGCAGUGUCUAAUGUUUGUUCCCUGUAUCAGGCAGUUAUUGGUCCCAAGCGAGUCCACAGGUACCCGACAAAGGAAAAUCGUCCACAGCUAGCGAUGGACCAAGUACAGAAAGAGCUGGCUGAUAUGCGUGAAAGGAUGGAUCAGUUCAUGACAUUGAUGACUGGUAUGGCAGAAGGCCAGGAAAAGCUGAGGGAAUUGGUUGAGCAACCGAGACCCGAUCCGGAGGUGGAGAUACCAAAUGCUGAGGGAAACCCUGGUAACCCUGGGAACGCUGAUAACCCUGUGAACACUGGUAACGCGGGUAACGCAAAUGCUGAUGGAAACCCGGGUAAUGUUGGCAACACAGGGAAUGUUGGAAAUGGUAUUGGCGGAAGGUACAAUGUGAAUCAAGGAAUUCGGAUUAACGGGCGCCCCGUUACUGAAGAUUAUCAGUAUGAUCAAUUUUCUUUGCACGACGAGGCCCUCGAGACCACUCGCCGUAUGGAUGAGCUUGCUGAGAAGCUCAAAUCUUUGGAGUCUCAAAAUUCCUUAGGCUUUGAUGUCACAAAUCUUGGUCUGGUUCAGGGAGUAAGGAUUCCUCACAAGUUCAAACCCCCUACUUUUGAGAAAUACAACGGGGCUUCUUGCCCACGCACUCAUCUCCAAUCUUAUCUGGGAAGGUUGGGAGCUCACACGGAAGAUGAAAAGCUGUGGAUGUACUAUUUUGAAGACAGUCUAACUGGAGCUUCUCGUGAAUGGUAUUCUCAUUUGUCUCGUACUACCAUCAAGAGCUGGAAAGACUUGGCAGAGGCUUUUGUCAAGCAAUAUCAAUACAACUUGGACAUGGCUCCAAAUCGGACCUUGUUGCAAGGUAUGUCUCAGACUGCCAAGGAAACCUUUAGAGAGUAUGCUCAGCGUUGGAGACAGAUUGCUGCGUCCGUCCAACCCCCUAUGUCUGAAAGGGAGAUGGCGGACAUGUUCAUGAACACUCUUCAAGGCAAUUAUAUUGAGAGAUUGGCUGCUUGCCCGUCAAUCAGCUUUGCAGAGAUAGUAAUUGCUGGAGAAAGAAUCGAGAGUCUGUUGAAGAUGGGCCGAAUUCAAGACAAUAGUGCUUCCAACUCAUCAGGUCCCAAGAGACCGUUUGCUGGUAACGGUCAGCGAAGAAAAGAAGGCGAGGCAAGCGUUGUGUAUGCCGGCAGAGGCAGGGGUAGAGGACGCCCUAAUUAUUAUCAAGAUCAAGUGGCCGCAGUCACUAUUCCAACACCUGUUCCUCAACCGCAAUAUCAUCCGCAACAACAACCCAGGUACAACAAUCAACAACAAGGAGGUAAUCCGGGUCAGCAGAGACACUAUCAACAACGUCCAAGGCAGACGGACCGGGUCAUCGAGCCAAUCCCAAUGCCUUAUUCAGUAUUACUUCCCAAGCUGAUUGACAUGAAUCUGGUUACGUUGAGAACUCUGGCCCCACCAAUCGAUCCCAAUAAUUUGCCUAGAGGUUAUGAUGUCAACGCCAGAUGUGCUUUUCACUCCAACGCACCUGGCCAUACUACAGAUAAUUGCAAGGCUCUCCAGUUAAAGGUACAAGAUUUGAGAGAUGCCCAGGCUAUCAAUUUUGCUCCGGUGCCUAAUGUUAUCCAGAACCCGAUGCCGGCUCACGGCGGGCAGAGGAUUAAUGCUGUUGAUAGUGGGGAAACUUUGAAUUUGGUUUCUGAUGUGACUAAGGUGAAGACUUCGCUAUCGGUGGUUAAAGACCGACUUCUGAAAGGACAGAUUUUCCCGGGCUGUGGGGAAGAAUGCAGAAAUUGUCAAGCUGCCGAAAACGGAUGUGACAGUUUGAGAAGGGGUAUUCAGCAACUGAUAGAUGAAGGUUGUCUUCAGUUCGAUCAGGCCCGUCCGGUGAAGAAUGAUGUAUCGACGGUGACGUUUUAUUUCACUCCUGAAGAAAUAUAUGUUCCCGAGAGACUCGCUCCGACAACAAUAUAUUUCCCAGAAAGUACAGAACCAGCAGCGGUGAACAUCGAAAGUUCAGCACCAGUCGCAAUUUACUCUGACAGCCCUCAACCGACUUUGGUUGGUCCAAUCACCAUCACGGUACCAGGACCUGUUCCGUAUGAGAAAGACAGUGCUAUCCCGUGGCACUAUGGGGCUGAUAUCUACUGCCAGGGGCAGAAAGUUAACGAAGAAGACAUUGACAUUGGUAGCUCCGCUGUAGACAAUGUUGGAGGGGUUGGUGGCUUCACUCGCAGUGGACGCCUAUUUGCACCAUCAACAUUACGCGCGAAUACUGAAGCCGAGGCAGCUGCCAAGGCUAAAGGAAAACAGGUAUCCACCGAAGAGGUUACUACUGAGGAAGAUCCUCCUAAGACCGCAUUCGAGAAGGAAGUGGAUGAGUUUAUGAGGAUUAUCAAGAAAAGUGACUACAAGGUAGUCGACCAGCUAAAUCAGACACCCUCAAAGAUCUCCAUUCUCUCACUAUUGCUGUGCUCUGAGGCGCACAGAGCAGCCUUGUUGAAAGUACUGAAUAUGGCCUAUGUUCCACCGGAGAUAACUGUUAACCAGCUGGAGUCGGUAGUUUCCAAUGUAAACGCUAGCCGGGGGCUAGGUUUCACCGAUAAUGACCUGACAUCUGAGGGCAGGAAUCACAACAAAGCCUUGCAUAUCACAAUGGAGUGCAAAGGGGUGAUGCUUUCCCAUGUUUUGGUUGAUACAGGCUCUUCUCUGAAUGUUCUUCCAAAGAAAGCCUUAAUGAAGUUGGAUUGCGAUGACACCAUCCUGAGGCCAAGUAACUUAGUUGUGAGGGCUUUUGAUGGCUCUAAGAGAGCUGUCUUUGGCGAAGUUGAGUUGCCAGUUAAGAUUGGACCGCAGGUGUUCAAGAGCACCUUUUAUGUGAUGGAUAUCCAGCCUGCCUACAGCUGUCUGCUAGGUCGGCCUUGGAUUCAUGUUGCCGGUGCUGUUACUUCUACCCUCCACCAGAAGCUCAAAUAUGAACUAGAAGGUCAGAUCGUCACUGUAUGUGGUGAAGAGGAUAUUUUUGUUAGCCACCUGUCUACAUUUAAGUAUGUAGAGAUGGAUGGCGAGAUGCAUGAGAUGCUGUGUCAGGGCUUCGAAACUACAAACAUCAAUGAGGUCGCGCCCGAAGCUGUCUUUUCACCUGAGUUUGAGAAGGUCGGGACUUCUAUCUCUUCAUACAAGCAAGCUGUCGAAGUGGUUAAAGCUGGUAAUGCCCAAGGCUGGGGCAAAUUUGUGGAGCCAGUCAUCAAAGAAGACAAGUUUGGAUUGGGGUAUGCUCCGGGAUCUCAGAAGAAUGAAACCGGUACUCUCUCCAGCGGGGGUUUGGUUUCUCCCCACAUCGUCAAUGCUGCAGAUGAAGACAAGGCUGACAGCGACUGUGACUUAGAUAGCUGGAUUCGCCCGUGUGUCCCGGGAGAAAAGCUCGACAAUUGGUCGUCUGAAAAAACCGUCCGGGUUACUCUACUGAAAGAGUGAUUUUUAUUGUUUUCCUUUAUUACAUGCAUAAUAAAGUCUUACACUUUGCCCAAGGUGUAACGGCUCAUUUGUAGGGCCAUCCAUUUAGUUACAUUUCGCAAUUAUUUUUAUCAUCAAUAAAGGACGGCUUUUGCAAACAAUUUUGUGUUCUCUUUCUUUCAGUUUUUUUUACUUUUACAAAAAAAAAUGGCAAUGUUUCUUUUUUCGUUUUUUCUUUCUUUCCAAAAAAAAAUCUCUCAUUCUAAGGUAAAGCAUGAUCCUCCAUCAUGCAGAGCCGACCACCCGGAUCUCACUGCUAACGACACUGCUAUGGCCAAGUAUGACUUCGACAAUCCUAUCUAUUAAGCCGAAGAAGGGGUUGAGGAAGAUUGUGAAUUGCCUGAAGGGUUAGCCAGAUUGUUGAAACAGGAGGACCGAGCUAUUACACCUUAUCAGGAGGUGAUUGAGACCGUCAACAUCGGUACCGCAGACGACAAGAAAGAGAUCAAGAUCGGGGCAAGUCUACAGGCCGAGAGGAAAGACCGUUGAUCAUGUACUUGACUGUGUUAGAAAGGUCAAUGGGUUGUGUGCUCGGUCAGCAUGACGAGUCAGGUCGAAAAGAGCAUGCAAUAUACUACCUUAGCAAAAGUUUACCGACUGUGAACAAAGAUACUCAUUGCUCGAGAAAACUUGUCGCGCUUUGGCAUGGGCUGCUCGCCGACUAAGACAGUAUAUGUUGACUCACACGACUCUAUUGAUAUCAAAAAUGGAUCCAGUCAAGUAUAUUUUUGAAAAGCCAGCACUUACCGGAAAGGUUACUAGGUGACAAAUGAUACUGACAGAGUAUGACAUCCAAUACACUUCACAAAAAGCCAUCAAGGGAAGUGUCUUGUCAGACUAUCUUGCAGAGCAACCGAUUGAUGAUUACCAACCUAUGAGGUUUGACUUUCCUGAUGAGGACAUCAUGUUUCUCAAAUCGAAAGAUUGAGAGGAACCACUCCCGGAGGAGGGGCCUGACCCUGAAUCCAAAUGGGUUAUGAUGUUUGAUGGGGCGGUCCACGUCAAUGGUCGCGGAGUUGGUGUAGUGUUGAUCACACCGGAAGGGGGUUCAUAUGCCAUUUGGUGCCAGAAUAACUUUUCCCUGCACCAACAAUGAAGCCGAAUACGAAGCUUGUAUCCUAAGACUUGAGGAAGCCGUCAAUAUACAGAUUAAAACCCUGGAUGUAUACGGGGAUUCAGCUUUGGUCAUCAAUCAAACCAACGGGAAAUGGUAUACACCUCAGCCUCAUCUGGUUCCUUACAGAGACUACACGAGAAGAUUGUUAACUUUCUUUUGAAGAAAACCAAUUUGCUGAUGCUUUGUUUACCUUGUCUUCGAUGAUUAAGGUGCUAUGCUGGAACUACGUACCCAGAAUUGACGUAUCUCGGUCAGAGACGAAUGAAGAAAGCAUUUGGUCAGAAAGUGCGCCCUCGGGGGUAUCAAGUCGGUGAAUUGGUACUCAAAAGAUUUCUUCCUCCCAACACAGAUCACAGGGGCAAAUGGACACCGAACUAUGAGGGUCUGUACGUGGUUAAAAGGAUUUUCUAUGGCGGAGCUUUGAUGCUAACAACCAUGGAUGGCGAAGGAUUCCCGUCCCCUAUUAACUCAGACGCAGUUAAAAAAUACUUCGCAUAAAAUAAACCCGCUGGACAGUAAAAAGAAUAGUCCAGGCAAAAAAGGGCAUCCCGACGAACCAAAAAAAAAGAAUAAAGAGGUUCGGGCAAAAAUUAGGGAUAUAAAAAUAAAAAAAAUGUACACCCGGUGAGUCGAAAACCCGAAAGGGCGGCUCAGGCAAAAAAGGGUAUCCUGGUGGAUUGAAAACCCAAAAGGGCGGUCCACGCAAAAGUUAGGGAUUAAGCGAAUGGCUGCGAUCUGAGUUCAUCUAUGUCAUAUCACCGUUUCAUUCAAUCCGGCAAUCUCCAAAGGUUAAAGAUCGACUAAUCAACCACUUCAGAAAGCAAGAUGAGCAAGCGUCUGGAGGUCAUACGAGUCAUAGCAGAGUCGAAACUCAGUGAGACCCCGUAUCCCCAUUGCCAUUAUUAGUUCUCUUUUUAUAGCGAUCACCUCCUUUCAGGGAUCAGCUUCCUGAUACCCUCGCCUAUUCCUGGCACAAAUUUUCUCCGCAGUAAGAUUCGAAUAAUUCAGUUAAAGAGCCUCUUUAUUUUUCAUUUAUCAGUUUAUUUGCAAAAAUGUCCGAAUUUUUGAUAAAACAUAUUUCAUAUGAACAUAAUGGUGGCUUUUGCAGAUGAUUUGCACAGGAAAACAUUUAAAAUUGCUUUGAAUGUGCUUAAUCCCGGACGGUGAUUCAAACCGAGUAAGUCCCCCGAGCAUACGUGUAUUUUUGGUUGCAAGGUCACAAGGAACCCGAUGGCCUAACGUUCAUGAAAUCCUUCAUCCCCAUAGCGGGUAACAAAGUCACUCUCCUCAGUAGAGCAUGUUCCCACCAGCAGAGGUGACAGUGAUCCAGACUAUAUAAUCCCCAGCGGAGUUGACAGUGUCAGACUGUAUCUUCUAGCAACACCGGAGUGGUUGCAUAACCAACAGAUGAGAGGGUGGUGUUCCCCAGUGUUCAUCUCAUUCCCCAGGCAGAUUAUUUUAACAGAUUCUGUUGAAUCCCUCAUCCCGCCAGUAUCAGCUUGAGGGUGAUUAGCAAUGUUCACUAUCCCCAGCAAUGCCCUAAUGUGCGUUAAUCCUACUGACACUUCCCCAGGAAGUGUUUUCCCCGCACGACCUCUCCUCCACAUGGAAGCCUGCGCCGAAUCACACAAGUUUUUUCCGUAGUUUGAUACUCCCCCCCGAGACUACCACGCAAGCUCAACUUUCCAAGCAAGCCAAUUUGUUGGUGGCCUCAUUGGUCCCCUGGCAGAUACGGAUCAUUCCCCACAGAGCAUUCAAGGAUUGAAACAUGGCGAUCUGUUCCCCUACCGGAGUGGCGUUCCCAAGCGAGAUUUCUUUUAACAACCGGCAUAACAAGCAUCUUGCAUGCAUAUGCAUAUCAAGCAGUACACAUAAGUUUGAAGAACAGGUCGUUCAAGAAGACUGAAGAAUACUUUACAACCCAAGGUCAUGGAAAUCCAGCCAGAGGAUCAAGUGGGAGUGACCAAGCGAGGGUCGUUUGAAGAUUCAGCCUCGAGAAACGUUUUCCCAGUGAUGCCAGCCCUGAGGGUUCAUGGAAGAUUCAGCUUGAGAACGUUUCCCAGUUGAUCGACCCGGCCUGAGGUUCAAUUUUGAAGACUUCAGCGCCUGAGUAAUCGUUCUUCCAGUGAUUCCAGCCUGAGGGUCCAUUUGAAAGAUUCAGCCUGAGAAUCGUUUUCCCAGUGAUGCCGGCCUGAGGUUCAAUUUUGGAAAGAUGUCGGACCAUGAGAAUCGUGUGUCCAGUGAUCCAGCCUGGGUCAUCGGAGAAUCAGUGUUCGAAGUUCCACCAUGCGGAGCAGUCGUGACAGUUUAGCAGCAGGCGUCUUUACGAGAGAUUCAAACUGAGAAAUCGGUCCUACGUAAGCAGCCUAAGUUGCGUCAAUGUUGAAGAUUCCCAGUGGAAGUCGCCUACAAGCUUUACUUCCCCAACAAGCCAAGUCUAAAUUGAGGAGUCUGUUACAACAUGUUCUAGGCCCAAGAAUAUGUUACGAAGCCCAAAAGUGGAAUAUCCCGAAGCUGCAAUCUAAAUAUGAAGGUUGGGUGAAUUCAAAAGCGGUCCAACCAGCGGCAUGCCUCAGAUGCGGGAUCCUAAUGAUGGGAAAUUUACUCAUGCAAACAAUCCAGCUCUAGCGUCCAGAUAGAUCGAAGUAGAUUGCAGCCAGAGAAUGCGAAACAAAGAAGAUCUACGGCCAGAAGAUAGAAAUCGCAACAAUUCAGAUCUAGCCAGAAGAUCGAAGUGAGAAUUCAGGCCAGAGAAUCAAAAGGAAAUAGAUUCAGCCAGAGAAUCGAAACGAAGGAGAUCUAGCCAGAAGAUCAAAAUCGUAUCCAACCGAGGAUCAAAAUUAAUAUCCAAACAGAGGACUAAAUUGAGGUAAUUAUGCUUUUGCCAGAGGAGGAACUCGAACUGAAACCAGAUUAAGCCAGAAGAGACUGAUUCAGAUCCAGCCAGAGGAAGGAUCGGAAGAAAAAUAAACAGCGCGGUGUAUUUCCCGCAUUUUUUGUGGUGUUCUCGGAGCGCAAAUUUUUUGGUCUGUUUGGUAUUCAAUCACAGCUCACCCCGUUUGGUCUGAUAAGUUGUUUCGCUUUCAUCCCUACUCGGGUUAGCUUGAUGAUUGAAAUAGGGGCAGCUGUAACACCCCCAAAAUUUUCCCUCCUCAUUCAUGCAUUCAUUUUAACAUUUCAUAUUAACAUUUCAUCAUGUCAAUCAGAAUAGAUCCAAGAAACUUAUUUAAAAAAAAAAUAAAAUAAAAAAAAAAUAAAAUAAAAAAAAAAUAAAAAAAUAAAUAAAAUAUAAUAGAAAAAAGACUUGGACUUGGACCUCUCUCAUUUGAGCCCACAAAAGCCAUGAAAUCAGGUUAUAAAAGAGGAGAUCAGACAGAAAAAGGAAGAGAAGCAAAAACACUCCUGAGGUUUCCUUGCCACAAACCCUGGACAAAACCUGGAGAGAAAGCUAGACAGAGAUUGUGAGAAUCUAACUGCAGCACACUCCAGGCAACUCUGAAAAGGUUCAUUCUACUCACAAGACUUUCAACUCAAGCAAACCCUACAUUGGUUUGCAAAAUCCAGCCGUGCAUUUGAUUUCAACCGAUCUCUCCAAUUAGGUUUGGCCCUAUAUCCAUCAUCUUUACUGCCUUUAAUUUGAAUGCUCCUAAAUGUAGAGGUGUUUAUGGGUGAAUUUGAUACCCUUUUGAGGCAUGUGUUUGACAAGAGGUUUUGCCUCCUACCCUUGGUUGCUUUUUGGGAAAUUGAAAGGGCAUGAUUCUAGUGGUUACAUUUUUGAUUUGGGGCAACCCUUGAUUACCCUAUUUUUUUUUCUCUCUAACCUGUUUGUUUGAGUUUUUUUUGUGUGAGGGCUCACAGACUCUUGCAGAGAUGGUUUGCGUGGUUUUCCCACUUUAGUUGUGGGAUACCCCCUGGAGGUUCAUUCCGAUUACCUGUACUGACUCACCUUUCUUUGAUGGCAUUUAGCUUGGGAGAUCCCUGGUUUCUUACUCCUUUAAUUGUUGUUACUUCGAUGCUUUAUCCGUGUGGUACUUUUACCUCUUUUCCGCAUUUUAUCGCUUUCUUAGCUGGAAGACCUCGAUAGGAGGCAUUUGUUUUCUUUUGUUUAUUUACUUCUGAGCCCCUUGUUGGCACAUUUACUUUAUACAUGUUUUGUUUGUAUGUGUUCGUAUCCCUGCAGGUCAGCGCGGUUCCCUUCGUCAAGGACCUGCCUUUUCUUCCCUUGGAGCAUCCCUAAACCACUAAAACCCAAAGCAACACGUUAACUCCUUCUACUACAAUGCGAGUAAGUCUCCAAGGUCGAGCAUCCGUUAGAUUGCGUAGUGACGUCGUUCGUCCAAAACCCAAUCCAUAACCCCGUAGUCUUAGCCGAAUACGGCUUGCUCUGAUUCUCAUUCCAGAUGAGAUACGUAGGCAUAAGACGUGAUGUCUUAGCGAGCAACACAUCCCCCCACCCAUAGGUCAGCCCGAGCUACGAAGACUCUGAUUCUCAUAUUCAGAUGAGAUACGUAUGCAAGUGGAUCGCAACAUCCGCGCGAGUCAUUUCAUUUAACGCCUUUUUUUGGGUAAACAGCACAAGAAAUAAACUCAACACCCUUUAGACAAGAACUACAAUAAGUGGAUCCCGUAGAGUACUACGGAUGCGUAGGGGUGCUAAUACUUCCUUCGCAUAACCGGCUCCCGAACCAAGAUUUGGUUGCGAGAACCGACCGUUCUGUCCUUAUCCUUUUUCAGGUUUACUUCGAGCGUUUCCUUUCCCUCCUUUGGGAUGAAUAACGCACGGUGGCGACUCUUCUGUCAUUUUCUUUCGCCGGUUGUUUUUUCGCGCACUGUAUUUUUCAGGUUGCUACAUCAGGGAUACCGUCCCCAACCCGAACUGCUGAGGUUUCUUAAUCAACAACCAUUGUUCGUUCCUCAACUAGCUCCGAGGAACCAAAUGCGGAAUCAGAAUUGGUACUCAAGUCGGAGGCAAAACUCUUAUGCUCAAAAUGGCCAGGAAAAAUCAAAGAGGUUGGAAAAACAGUUUGACCUGAUUCCCAUGACGUAAGGUCGAAUUCUCCCUCUUUUGCUCAACAAAUCAUUGGUGCAGUUAAGGGCACUAGGACCUCCUCCAACACCUCUUCCCUUGAACUACGACAUGAAUGCUAGGUGUGAGUUCCACUCGGGAGCACCCGGACACUCGAUCGAGAGUUGUAAGGCCUUCAAAUACAAGGUCCAGGAACUGAUUGUUUCAAAGGCUAUCGCGUUCACACCAAACAGACUGAAUAUACUAAGCAACCUCAUGCUGCCACAUGAAGGCACUUCUGCAAUGCCACAACCAGUGCCAAUGGAUGAGGAACAAGAAGCUGAAUAAGAGCCGCCUUGGGGACUAUCAUACAUGAGUACAAGCAUGGAUACACCGAUCAUCGGUUGGAAACAAGGCUAAUCACGCCAGCAAUUAGUUAUCAUUCAUUUGUUUCACGUGUAACUUUCUUGCUUGUCAUGUAAUAUUCACUCUUAAAAACUUGUUUUUGCAACAAUGAAAUGAAUAUGCAUGUUUUAAGUCAAUCCAAUUGUGUUCACUCUUAUCUUACUUUUGUUUAAAAACGAAACUUAAAGGGAGAAUGAUGAAUAUAAGGUACAAUAUCUCAUUGCAUGUAUGCUUUUGAAUAAACACCUUGCUGAUGAUGUAAGGCAUUACUUCAAAUCCCCAAACAGUGGAGGUAUAAGGAUGAUAAUCCCUAGUCAACCCCUUUGAGCCUAAAAGUAUGAGUUUUCUUCCAAGCAGAGAAACCCUCACAUCUUAAACCCGGGGCAGGGUAGUCUUCAGCUAAUUUGACCACGCGUUCAAUUCCUAAAAUACAAAGUAGGGAAUGUCCCAUUUGAGGAUCAACCACAUCCUAGGGAGUGUCUUGUCUAAAAGGCAACCACAACAUUUCCCUCACGAGAGGUCGAAAUCACAAAUCCAGUGGUUGUCCCUCGCCAAAAAAAAAGUGAGACAGCCACAAAUCCUUUCAAACUAAAUCAACAAAUGUCACACGAUUUGUUCCACACAAAAAAAUUUCCAAAAAAGAGAGAAAAAUCCCGCUAAGUCGAAACUUGAAAACAAGUGACUUAGGCAAAAAUUAGGGUAUCUCGAUGGACUGCAAGCAAAAAAAAUAGUCCAUGCAAAAUUAGGGAAGUUGAAAAAAAGGGGCAGAAGAGGAAUCAAAAACAAAAAUCCUCAGCAAGAACAAAGUCGUGUGACUGCAAACACAAAAAUAGGAAGGCAAGUGACUGUCACUCCCGAAACCUUUUGUGGCGGUUCUCUUACUCACUCACAUCACAUUCUAAGAGAUGAACGUCUAUGUCAACUAGUUGAACGUAAGGGCUGAAGGGUAUCCAAGAAGAAUGGGCGGGAUAAAUAAAUUUUUGAGCCCAUAAAUCCUUUUGUUUCUAAACGCGUAAAACCAUCCCACAUUACAACCCUUAAAAGACCUAAUUGAAGCAAGUCUAUUUGAAAGCAUAUUGCAUUGGAGCUUUGUCGAAACCGACUCCUAUUUGUUUUGGCUAAGUAUCACUAUGACUUUUGUAACUAGUGAUCCAUUCACUAAUAUGUCAUCUUUUCAAGUGGACAUACUUGGAUUUCUAAAACUACCAUAAAACAUAACAUUAGCAUAAAUAGUUUACUUGUGAAUGAGCAUUGACAUCACAGACAUUUUCACAAUGAACAUGACUUGAGAAGUUUUGGUCACCCAAAAGAGGCAAUUUCCCGAGGACUCCGAUGAGUAAAGGCCAUCCCUUAGAUUAAUCUCACCAGGGGAAAGGCAUCUGAGAACUCCGUCGAGCAAGCCACUUCAAGAUCCAGUCAGUCUGGGACAUCACGUCGAGAUUAGGCAAAUAUCUCCAAAGGAGUUGGCCAGGGGCAUUCCCUCAAAAAUAAACCAGUCAGGGGCAAAUCCAUUCAAGGUUUCACAUCGUAUAAGAAGAGCCACCUCAAAGCAUGAGAAGUCAAAACACUCAAAGAGAUGGAUGAAUAGGGGUAGGCAGAAUCCAAGACGCUGGGGUAUAUCAGAUCAAAGAUUACUCUACCCAUGUUUGCUUCAUAACUUGUAACUGGGGCAGUCCAUGUAGAUACCUAACAGAUUGAGGCAACACUGGCGCAUGGAGAGGAAGAUCUAUUUCGUCGUUAUCGAAUCGAUGCUUGGAUUCUCAUGCGUCAGAUCAAGCAUGGGAAUCAGAAUAUCCAGACAAGCUCACACGUCAUCCAGGUUCAAAGCAAAAUGGUCGGGAAGUCAUGCUAAAGACAUCAUCCCAUAACUUGUCACCAAUGAGCCUUGAAUUCAAGAAAAAAUAUUCCCAGUUCCAACCAUUCUUGACCCACCUCAAGGACAUUUAUGAACUAUCCAAAUAAUUGCAUCAAUCAUUAUGCACCAACCAUGUUGCUUCACUCAUACAUAUCAUGCAUCAUGCAUAACAUGAAGCCCUCCCCCAACAAGAAUAUAGAAGCCAACCCCACUUGAUACCCUUUCAAAAUUAAAGCCUACUUGGCAAACCCAAAAAUAUAAUCAUCAUCAGAUCCAGCCUGAUCCCGUCCAAACCAAAAUCCAAAAGCCCAAUCGUUAUUGCACCUUCCAAAGCACACAUAAACUCAAUCGUAUCUGCACCUCCAAAACAAAUCUCAUAUCAUUAACCAUAAACCGCAAUCGUUAUUGGCACCUCCCAAAAUAAUCUUUAUCAUUAACCAUAAUGCCCAAUUGUUAUUGGCUCCUCCAAAACAAAUCUCUAUCAUUAACCAUAAAACCCAAUCGCUAUUGGCAUCUCCAAAAACCGAAAGCCACUUUGCUGGAAUCUUCAUAAACUCAAAUCCAAUCAACUUGGUACCCAAAAAGUCUCACCUCCCCAACGGAGAUCAAUCAAAUACAUCAAUAUUCAUCUUGCAUUACCACAUGCACUGCAUACAAUAAACACACAUGACCUUCUUUCAAAAUAAGAAAGUUGCAUAUCAAAAAGCUCUCUCAACAAAAUGAGAAAUUCUCAAUAACAUGCACCAUAUGCAUACAUAACAUUAAUAACUCCUUCCCAUCAACCUUUGAUGAGGACAUAACCUGCCUUAAUAUUUUCUGUCAACCCUUUUGACGAAGACAAUUACCUUUCCGUCAACCUUUGACGAUGACAAACUUUUUUCCAUCAGCCCUUUGAUGACGACAUUUUACACACAGUUCUUUCCGUCAACACUUUUGACGAAGACAAAUACCUUUCCGUCAACCCUUUGACGAUGACAAAUUUCUUUUCCAUCAUCCCUUUGAUGAUGACAAUAUUUUCCGUCAAACCCUUUGACGAUGACAAAAUUACCUUUCCGUCAACCCUUUGACGAAGACAAAUUACCUUUCCGGUCAACCCUUUGAUGAAGACGAAUCCUUUCCACAACCCUUUGACGAAGACCAAAUUCUUCCUAUCAAACCCUUGGACGAAGCCACAAAUUCACCUCUCCGUCAACCCUUUGACGAAGACAAAUUACUCUCUUUCCGUCAGCCCUUUGACGAUGACAAAACUCUUUUUCCGUCAACCCUUUGACGAAGACAAAUUACCUUUCCGUCAACCUUUGACGAUGACAAACUUUUUUCCGUUAACCCUUUGACGAAAGACAAAUUACUUUUUUCGUCAACGCCUUUGACGAUGACAAACUCUUUUCCGUCAACCCUUUUGACGAAGACAAGAAUUACCUUUCCGUCAACCCUUUGACGAUGACAAACUCUAUUCCAUCAACCUUUGAAUGACGACCCUUUUCAAUCAACCCUUUGAUUACGACACCCUUUUCCAUCAACCCUUUGAUGACGACACCCUUUUCCAUCACCCCUCUUGAUGAUGACACCUUUUCCAUCAACCCCUUAAUGAUGACACCCUUUUUCAUCAACCCUUUGAUGACAACACCCUUUCCAUCAACCCUUUGAUGAUGAUCUCUCAUUGGAAACAAAAAUCCCUACAAAAAUCCAAAUAACCAGUUGCAGUCCCACAUGCAUUGCAUGCAUCACUUCAUGCAUAAUUUUCCAUAGAAACGGAAAGUCCGCACUAAAGCCCAACCAUACUUGGCACAAUCAUAGACCCUUGCAUUUGCAUACCCCAGCAACCCGAGCUACACCAAACUUUCUGCAUACAUCAACAUUUUACAUGCAUAACAUUGCAUCACAACAUACUCUUCAUAUUGGGGCAAGUAUGUUUAGCAGAAGUUGGAUUCAAGCCUUUCUCGAAAGUGCAAGGGUCCCCGUGAACAACCCAACAGGUAUCCCCAAAGUAUCUCCUUUUAUUUGCCUUUUGCAAAUAUUGUUGGCCCUUUGUCAGUACCCCUCGCCUUUUGCGAGACCCUAUGCUUUUUGCAAGGGAAAACCCUGGUUUGCCUUUUUGCAAGCUCCUUGUACCUUUUGCACAAGAGAGUUUACCUUUAUCAACUUUGCAUGUUAAGGCAAAAAUGAGAGUGGACGAUUGACCUAUUCUCUUAAACGUUGUUCUUAAAACACCUGAUGUAGGUUUGGCAAGUCCCGAGUGGUAGCCAUAUUUCAAAAAUUUCAUCCCCGCGCCGUUGGCCUGAGGUUAUAUGAAUUUUUCGUGUCUACCAAUAAAUUUUCCCUCUACCUUGUGUAUGAUAACUACAUCUAUUUCACCUACCUUUUGCAAGUACUGCAUGUGCUUUUGCACACUUUCAAAAAUCAACACCUUCCCAGUCGUGCCUAGGGAAUGACACUGUUUCAAACUCAAAUCUUCCCUGCCGUUGCUAGGGAUUGACACUUUCAAAUUCUAACCUUCCAGCCGUUGCUAGGGAUUAACACUUCAAAAUCAAACCUUCCCAGCCGUUGCUUGGGAUUUACAUUUUCAAAUUCAAACCUUCCGCGCAUUGCUAGGGAUUGACACUUUCAAAAUUCAAUCUCCCCAACCGUUGUUAGGGAUUAAUAUCUUUAGAUUUCAGGUAUUCCAACCAUUACUAGGAAGUGUCACUGAACUAAGACCUCCCAGUCGUUGCUAGGGAUCUACACUUUAGAUUUAGGUUUUUCCAGCCAUUGCUGGAAGCGUCACUAAACUAAAACGCUCCUAGUCGUUGCUAGGAUUACAUUCUUUAGAUUUCAGGUAUUCCAGCAUUGGCUAGGAAGCGUCACUGAACUAAAACCUCCCCAGUCGUUGCUAGGGAUCUACACCUUUAGAUUUCAGGUAUUCUAGCAAUUGAUAGGAAGCGUCAUUGAACUAAAACCUCCCUAGUCGUUGCUAGGGAUCUACAUCUUUAGAUUUCAUGUAUUCCAGCCAUUGCUAGGAAGGUCACUGAACUAAAACCUCCCCAGUCGUUGCUAGGGAUCUACACCUUUAGAUUCAGGUAUUCCAGCUGUUGCUAGGAAGCGUCACUGAACUAAAAUCUUCUUAGCCAUUGUUAGGGAUUUUCACUAUCUUUUCACAUAAGAACUAUCCCCAACGAAGUCAUGUCCCUCUCAUCUUCCUUCUUGACCUUUUGUCAUGAAGCUUUUCUCUUUGUCUUCAAUUUAAAAGAGAUACUUAUGUACACACCAUAACAUACUAUGCAUAUCAUACACAUCAUGACAUAACCAUCAUACAGCUGACCCAUAUCCUCCCCACAUAAUACCCAUAAAAACUAUCCUCAACAGAUUGAUUUCAUAUCAAAUUUAUUUCCAUCCCAUGAACAACCUUCACACAAUACCCAUCACUUCAUAUCACAUUCACUUCAUUCUUAGUAGGGUGAAUGUUUGGAUAUUUUUAUUUAUUUUAAUCCUGCUCUUACCUUGGAUGUGUGGAAGUCGUUGCUAUCUAAACAUUCAGGUUCGAGAAGAUUAAAUAGGGGCAGCUGUCAUACCCUAAAAUUCACCCUACCUCGACUACAAUUUUCAUUUGAUCCAUGACCCUACUGCACUGCAUACAUUCAUUAUUUAAAAUAAAAAUAAAAAUUGGGUAACCGGUUCCACUAAUCAGGGUAACGAUUACCCAGACCAAAAAUUGAUUUUUUGGCCAUUUGGGACUGUGUAACCGAAUUUACCCCUAAUCAGGGUAACCGAUACACCUGCGCACGACAGCAACAAAUAACUCUAUUUUUACACAAAGGACCUUUCGUUCACCCCCUUCAACCCCUUUGCUUCCCUUAUAAAUAGAGCACUAUCCCCAUUCAUUUUCAAGCUUUAAAGCCAUAAAAACCUCUGUCCAAAUCACAUUCAAGCUCCCUCUUUUCAACCUAAACUCUAACUCACCCAAACCCUCUUUUCUCCUUUGAACACCCACACCACAUGUAAAAAUCCACAAACUCCACACAACAAAACAGUAGCAAGCUUGUGACUUCACUUACAUAAUCAUUCAUCACCAUCAAAUAAACAUUACAACUUCCUUCCUUCCAUUUUCUAACAUACAACAACAUAGCCACCUCUUCCAGCUUUUUGCUUCACCCUCAAACCCAAACACAACAACAACCUAGUUUUGACACCACAAUAUUGGUAAUAUUUGGACUCAAACUCCUUGACAUUUUUUUUUGGUUUUGUUUUGUGUUUGGAAAUGGGUUUUUUACUCUUGGGUUGUGUUUUGAGAGAGUUUUGAGUCAACUCUAGACAAGUGUUUUUUAUUUGGGUUUACACCCUUUUGGGGAUUUUUUGCUGCUUACUACUUUUAUCCAUCAUUUCAAUCAAACUUUAUUUCUUGUUAUCAUUUAUAUUAUUGGUUGAUGAGAUUUAUUUAAAUCAUGACUAUGGUGUGUUUAGAGUUGAUAAACCUUCAAUGUUUCAAACCUAUUAAUGAUGAUCAUAGAUCCUUCAUGAUACUUUGAGGCAUGAUAGGUUGCCUCUAUUUCAACAUGUUUGGGUCAUUUGAUACAUAGAUGAAACACAUUCUCUUUACAUUAACUUGUUAUUCUAUUUGCUUAUUGUUAUUCUAUAACCACUAACCAUUAACUACUAACUUCUAACUUUAUAUAUUGCACUUUACUUCCUUGGCAAUUUAUUUAAUUAUUCAUAACCAUGGACUUAUGGUUGCAUAACUUUCUUUGUUAGCAAAAUCUAUUCUAGUUGAUUUUUCAAUCAUCUUCAAUACUUUGCAUCAAUGAUAAGAUAUCCCUUAAUGUGUCAUUUAACAUUCACUAACCAUUAUUAUUGUGAUAUUAUCAUUCUUAUCUUGUGAUUUACUUUUAUGUCAUUCCCUGUAAUUUACUUCAAGUACUCAUUAUCAUCAUUAUUGUACAAACUUAUCAUGCAUGUUUAUUUACUUGUUAUUUAUUUUAUUGUCAUCAUACAUUAAAAGCAACAAAAACAUGGAUAAAUGGAAAGACUAAAAAUAUUCAUUCCACUCUUAUCAACUUGGACUUAGAGGAUUUCAUCUUAGGACCUUUGCUUGGAGGCCUUCCUUCACUCUUUGUGAUACUUUGUAAAAACUUUAGAUUUUCAUUCGUAACUUACAUGCAUGUUGUAAGAAUGGCAAUCAUGGCACCACCUUAGGGGGACAUGUUGUAAGAUCAUUAUCCUUUGUUUAGCUUAGGUCACUUUUGCACACAAAAGACUUUUCUCUUGGACUACCUUACAUGAGACCUUUUAAUUUCUUGUUGGUUACUUUGCAUUCAUGUUGCAAUAAGUCAAUUUUCAUAAUCAAAAUAAAACAAACCUUGAUUCAACGUCAAGUGGCAUUUUUGUAGUCAAAUUCAAAACAUUAAUAAUUACGCAUUGGUUAUUGUGCACCACGAGCCUUAAAUGGUGUGGAGAAUGAGUGAGACAUGGGGAAUUCUUACCCUUACUCUGAUUCAUUUUGGAUGCAAGACGCUUGGCUUGUUGUCUAGAAUAAUCACUCCGCCCAUAGACUUUAGUAUAAUAUAAUCUUAAACAUUCUUUCAUAAAACCUUAUUCAAGGUAAAAAACAAUACAACUCAUCAACUCAUUUUUGUGCCUAGGGAAUCAUCGUGAAAACCCUUUUCUCAAAGGUAAAAUACACCAACACACAAACAUUUUCUACUCCGAACUACGGAGCUCUGUUCCUCAUCCCGGAUGAGUGAUACAUAGCCAGCAAUGGCCACAAUCCUUGGAGAGCACUAUAAUAACAAAAACACCCCAUUCUUUUCACCCAUUCUUUUGAAAAUAAAACGAUAAUAGAUAAAUCCCAUGUAUGUAAAACAACCCAAAUGGUUCCCAUGGAGUACCAUGGACGUAAGGGGUGCUAAUACCUUUCCUCUUACGUACCGACUUCCGAACCCAAAUCUCAGUUGCGGAACCGAUUCCUUAUUCUCUUUAGCGCUUCCCGUGGCGUGUCUCUUUUCCGAGGGUUUUAAUCGACUAUUUCCCCCUCUCCUCUCAAUUAGAGGUAACUAAAUAAAAUUCGGUGGCCUCUCCUGACUUUGCCUCUCUUUGGCAUCUCUUAGUAUCGGUUUCGUUAUCGUGAAUGCCUGGUAGUGACACUUAUUAUUUAGAAAAAUGUUUAUUCAUUGAUCUAUUUAUUUUCAAAAUUAUCAUCAUAAAAUUUAAUUUAUUAAACAGAACAAAGUAAGAAUAACAAAUAAUUGGAUAAAAGCUCAGUUUUAUUUAAUAAGAGUGGGAGUCCGCACAGGCGGGACUCCAUGGACUUUUAUAAAGUUUGAAAAAUGGCAAUUUAACAUGGAAAAGGGCUACAUUGAAUAUAAUGACCACUACUCUUCCUUACCAACUUUGAAAUCCAUUGUAAUUAUUGUCUUUGGUUGAGAAUGAUAAUCAGGACUAAAUGACUAAUUUGUGCCUAGAUUUCCCCAAUGUGGGCGUACUCAAUCUACCGGAUAAAAUUUCUGUUUUAUGUCUCUAACUUUUGCUUGGAUCUCCCUUUCGGUUCUCACUCACACCGAGACACCAUUUUUCUAAGUCACCCUUUCGGGUUUUCAACUUAGCGAGUUAUUCUUUUCUUUUUUAGGCGAAGUAUUUCUUGACUAGAUCGGCGUUCCCACAGGACGCAUGAACUUUCACCGUCAAUAGUUGUAAGAAUCAAUGCACCGCUUGAAAAGGCUCUCUUAACAACAUAGGAACCUUCAUAAUUAGGAGUCCUUUUCCCAUAACAUCAGAUUUAAAAGAUAGAACUUCUUGAGGCAAGAGUCACCAUCUCUGAAACACGAGGUUGACCUUCUUAUCAAAAGCUUUCUUCAUUCUCUGCUGAUACAACUGACCAUGACACAUGGCAGUCAAUCUCUUCUCUUCAAUCAAAUUAAGCUGAUCAAACCUGGUAUGACACUAUUCAGCUUCAGUCAACUCUGUCUUUCAUCAACACACGCAAUGAGGGAUCUCAACUCUACGAGGAGCACAACUUAACAUGCCAUAAACACGAGAGAAAGGGUUACCCCAGUUGAAGUACGUAUGAUGUACGGUACCCAUGCAAAGCAAAUGAGACCAUCUCAUGCCAUCCUUAUACUCACAACACAUCUUCUAGAUAAUCUUCUGAUAUUCUUAUUCGCCAACUUCAACAACCCCAUUCAUCUUAGGUCUUUAAAGAGAAGAAUUAUGAUGUCAAUCUUGAUGUUUUUACAAAGAGCUUCUACACAUAUUGUUAUUUCAAGUUCAAUCCAUUAUCAAUAAUGACCUUACUUGGCACCCAUAUCGGCACAUAUUAUCUGAUUCUUGAUAAACCUCACAACAACUUACUUGGUCACACUUGCAUAUGAUGUCUCUUCAACCCACUUUGUGAAGUAAUCAAUAGCCACAAAGAAACGAUGUUCGUUUGAUGCUUUGGGCUCAAUCAUGCAAUCAUACCAAUUUCCCACAUGGAUAGGGUCAUGGAGAGGAAGUGACAUUCAAAAGUGUCGAAGGAACAUGAAUAUUAUUCGCAUAAAUUUGACACUUGUGGCAUUUCUUCACAAACUUGCAAUAGUUAGAUUCCAUUGUCAGCCAAUAUUAACAUACUCCCAACAUCUUCUUUGCAUAACAUAUCCAUUGGAAUGAGUUCAUGGACUUUGUCAUCAACAGGUUUGCUUCGUGUCUAUCCAUGCAUCUAAGGCAAAACCCAUAUCGAAAUUUCCUCUUAUAAAGCACAUCACCAUUCAGGUAGAAUUGUCAGCUAAUCUCCUUAAAGUCUUCUUAUCUUCAAAGAUGCCCCAGGCAGGUAUAUCUGACUUUGGAGGAAACAUUUGAUAUCAUAAUACCAAUGGCUUUUCAUCCUUGAUUUCUUCAACAAUAAAUACAUGGGUUGGCCUAUUAAGACGUAUCGACAGUCAUAUUAGGAACUUCAUUCCAAAACUUCACCAUAAUCAUUGAAGCCAAACGUGCUGGAGCAUUUCCAUCUGAUUUUCUCUUGAUGGAUAUAUGAAACUAAUUCUUUGCAAAGAAAGUUGAUAUCCUCAUCGCAUAAUCUUUAUACGGUAUCAAACCGAGUUGGUUUCGUCUCCCAUUCACCUUUGAUCUGGUUAACCACUAAAGUUAAUCUCCAUAGACGUCGAGAUACUUAAUUUUGAGAUCAAUGCUUCUUCAAGCCCCAUAAUGCAAGUUUCAUACUCAGCCAUAUUAUUUGUACAUUUGAAGGUCAAUCUAGUUGUAAAUGGAAAAUGAGUGCCUUGAGGAGUAAUAAUCAUUACCCCAAUGCCAUUACCAUAUAAAUUAACAGCUCCAUCAAAUACCACGCCCCAACGGGAACCAGGUUUUGCCCUUCUUAAGCAAUGGUUCAUCAUAAUAUUUCAUCUCAAAUACAAAAUCUCUUCGUCGGGAAAAUCAUAUUGUACUGACUGAUAAUCUUCAUAGUGGUAAGCCAAGUGUUAGCCGACGAUAUACCUUAAUAGCUUUUUGAGCUUGGUAUCAUAUCAUACUCAAAUAACAACAUCUGCGACGGGCAAUCCUCCCAGUAAAAGCAGACUUCUCAAAACUGUACUUGAUUGAAUCCAUCUUGGAUAUCAACCAAUAAUAUGAUUAACAUAUACUGCGCGAGACGUUUAGUAGCCUAAGCCAAAGCACAACAUGUCUUCUCAGCAUCAGAAUACGGAGACUCACAAUUAGUGAAAUUCUUACUGAGGUAGAUAUUCCUUUCUUACCAAAUUCAUUCUUGCUAAACCAAGAACAAAACUCAUACUCUCAUGCAGCACAAUCAAAUACAUGAUCAAAGGUUUUCCUUCAAUAGACGGAGACAGAAUUGGAGGUUCAAGCAGAAUCUUUGAUAUUGUCACAAAGCUUUCUGGCAAAUCCUCAGUCCAAUCACCAAGACUGAUCUUCCUGAAGGAGCUUGAAUAUAGCGGUGCACAUGUGGCAUUCAUGAUGCGAUAUAAAUUAUGAGAUAUAUUUCACGCGGCCAAGAAAACCUCUGACCCGCUUCUCAGUUUUGGGCACAAGUAUCUCUGUAUUGCUUGACCUUGCAUGAUCAACUUCAAUACCCUUCUCACUGACAAUAAAAGUCCAACAACUGCCAGAUUGAACACCCAACAAGUACACUUAUUCGGAUUCCAAGCGUAGUUUAUACUCCCCAAACAGUGGAAAUAUCUUCAAUAAGUUCCCACAUGUUUUCUUCAGUCCUUGAUUUAUCAUCAUAUCAUUCAACAUAGAUCCCAAUCUCUUUGUGUGCAUCAUAUCAUGGAAAAGAGUGGUCAUGGCUCUCUGUGCCACUUCACGACAUUCUUUUAAAACCGAAAGCAGCUCAGCUCGAUAAACGGAAUGUCCCAAGGUGUAAUAAAUAUGGUAUUUAUCCAAUAUCUUUGGUGCCAUUAUACUGAUUCUAACGGAAAAUCAAUCCAUAAAACAAAAAGAUAUGAAUUUAGCCUAUAUUAUCUACUAACAUAUCAAGUUGUGGCGAGGAAUAUUCAUCUUCAGACUAGCUUUUAUUCAAAUAUGUAAUCAUAAUACACACUAUCGGAAUUUCGUUCUCUUCUUAGGAACAUGCACAAUAUUGCCACCCCAUUGCAGAUACUUAGAGGUAACCAGAAAACCAAUAUCAAUCUGCUCUCCCACCUUGCACCUUUUUCUCUUUAAAUCUUCAUGCCAUAUCAGGAGAUUCCUUCUCAAUUUCUGUGCUUUGACUGGUGAAGCACGUCUGGCCUUCAAAGGCAAUCCAUGCUCCACAAUAUCAGUGAUCAAGACUCUAGAAUAUUCUUGCAUACGGAUCGCAAGCAACGCACAUCAGAGUAUUCUCGGAGAAAAUCAACUAACCCUUCUAACCUCUAACCAACAGCUCACGACCCAAUUGACUUCCUGACAUCAUCUUUGGAAACCCUAAGUUGACUACUUCAACUCCUCGCUCUUCAAAUGACUGAGUGGCUCUCCUCUGUGCUCAAGCAAACAGGAUUAACUCAUCAGGGCUUCUUAUCAUCAUUCUCUUCCUCAACUUCAAACCACAGGGAGAUCAAAGUUUAGAGAGGGAAGUAGGAUCNAUCUUUUCAGUGGACAUACUUGGAUUUCUAAAACUACCAUAAACAUAACAUUAGCAUAAAUAGUUUUACUUGUGAAUGAGCAUUGACAUCAAGAGCAUUUUCACAAUGAACAUGACUUGAGAAGUUUUGGUCACCCAAAAGAGGCAAAUUUCCCGAGGACUCCGAUGAGUAAAGGCCAUCCCCUUAGAUUAAUCUCACCAGGGGGAAAGGCAUCUGAGAACUCCGUCGAGCAAGCCACUUCAAGAUCCAGUCAGUCUGGGACAAUCACGUCGAGAUUAGGCAAAUAUCUCCAAAGGCAGUUGGCCAGGGGCAUUCCCUCAAAAAUUAACCAGUCAGGGGCAAAAUCCAUUCAAGGUUUCACACCAGAGAAGACCACCUCAAAAGCAUGAGAAAGUCAAAACACUCAAAGAGAUGGAUGAAUAGGGGUAGGCAGAUCCAAGACGCUGGGGUAUAUCAGAUCAAGAUUACUCUACCCAUGGUUUGCUUCAUAACUUGUAACUGGGGCAGUCCAUGUAGAUACCUAACAGAUUGAGGCAACACUGGCCAUGGAGAGGAAGCAUUUCCUUAUAUUUUGGAUUUUCUUGCUCAGAUCAAGCAUGGGGAAUCAGAAUAUCCAGACCAAGCUCACAACGUCAUCCAGGUUCAAAGCAAAUGUCGGGAAGUCAUGCUAAAGACAUCAUCCCAUAACUUGUCAACAAUGAGCCUUGAAUUCAAGAAAAAAUAUUUCCCAGUUCCAACCAUUCUUGACCCACCUCAAGGACAUUUAUUGAACUAUCCAAAAUAAUUGCAUCAAUCAUUAUGCACCAACCAUGUUGCUUCACUCAUACAUAUCAUGCAUCAUGCAUAACAUGAAGCCCUCCCCCAACAAGAAUAAUGAAGCCAACCCACACUUGAUACCUUUCAAAAUUAAAGCCUACUUGGCAAACCCAAAAAUAUAAUCAUCAUCAGAUCCAGCCUGAUCCCGUCCAAACCAAAAUCCAAAAGCCCAAUCGUUAUUGGCACCUCCCAAAACAAAUCUCUAUCAUUAACCAUAAAGCCCAAUCGUUAUUGGCACCUCCCAAACACAAUCUCUAUCAUUAACCAUAAACCCAAUCGUAUUGGCAGCUCCCAAAAAAUAAUCUUUAUCAUUAACCAUAAUGCCCAAUUGUUAUUGGCUCCUCCAAAACAAAUCUCUAUCAUUAACCAUAAAACCCAAUCGCUAUUGGCAUCUCCAAAACCGAAGCCACUUUGCUGGAAUCUUCAUAAACUCAAAUCCAAUCAACUUGGUACCCAAAAAGUCUCACCUCCCCAAAAGGGAGAUCAAUCAAAUACAAUCAAUAUUCAUCUUGCAUUACCACAUGCACUGCAUACAAUAAACACACAUGACCUUCUUUCAAAAUAAGAAAGUUGCAUAUCAAAAAGCUCUCUCACAAAAAUGAGAAAUUCUCAUUAACAUGCACCAUAUGCAUACAUAACAUAAUAACUCCUUCCCAUCAACCCUUUGAUGAGGACAUAACCUGCCUUAAUAUUUUCUGUCAACCCUUUGACGAAGACAAAUUACCUUUCCGUCAACCCUUUGACGAUGACAAACUUUUUUCCAUCAGCCCUUUGAUGACGACAUUUUACAACAGUUUCUUUCCGUCAACACUUUGACGAAGACAAAUUACCUUUCCGUCAACCCUUUGACGAUGACAAAUUUCUUUUCCAUCAUCCCUUUGAUGAUGACAAUAUUUUCCGUCAACCCUUUGACGAUGACAAAAUUACCUUUCCGUCAACCCUUUGACGAAGACAAAUUACCUUUCCGUCAACCCUUUGAUGAAGACGAAUCCUUUUCCAUCAACCCUUUGACGAAGACAAAUUCUUUCCUAUCAACCCUUUGACGAAGACAAAUUACCUUUCCGUCAACCCUUUGACGAAGACAAAUUACCUUUCCGUCAGCCCUUUGACGAUGACAAACUCUUUUCCGUCAACCCUUUGACGAAGACAAAUUACCUUUCCGUCAACCCUUUGACGAUGACAAACUUUUUUCCGUUAACCCUUUGACGAAGACAAAUUACCUUUUCGUCAACCCUUUGACGAUGACAAACUCUUUUCCGUCAACCCUUUGACGAAGACAAAUUACCUUUCCGUCAACCCUUUGACGAAUGACACACUCUUAUUCCAUCAACCCUUUGAUGACGACACCCUUUUCCAUCAACCCUUUGAUGAUGACACCCUUUUCCAUCAACCCUUUAAUGAUGACACCCUUUUUCAUCAACCCUUUGAUGACAACACCCUUUCCAUCAACCCUUUGAUGAUGAUCUCUCAUUGGAAACAAAAAUCCCUACAAAAAUCCAAAUAACCAGUUGCAGUCCCACAUGCAUUGCAUGCAUCACUUCAUGCAUAAUUUUUCCCAUAGAAACGGAAAGUCCCACUAAAGCCCAACCAUACUUGGCACAAUCCAUAGACCCUGCAUUUGCAUACCCCAGCAACCCGAGCAUACACCAACUUUCUGCAUACAUCAACAUUUUACAUGCAUAACAUUGCAUCACAACAUACUCUUCAUAUUGGGGCAAGUAUGUUUAGCAGAAGUUGGAUUCAAGCCUUUCUCGAAAGUGCAAGGGUCCCCGUGAACAACCCCAACAGGUAUCCCCAAAGUAUCUCCUUUUAUUUGCCUUUUGCAAAUAUUGUUGGCCCUUUGUCAGUACCUCGCCUUUUGCGAGACCCCUAUGCUUUUUGCAAGGGAAUUUUUGCAAGGGAAAACCCUGGUUUGCCUUUUUGCAAGCCUCCUUGUUACCUUUUGCACAAGAGAGUUUACCUUUAUCAACUUUGCAUGUUAAGCAAAAAUGAGAGAUUGGACGAUUGACCUAUUCUCUUAAACGUUUGUCUUAAAACACCUGAUGUAGGUUUGGCAAGUCCCGAGUGGUAGCCAUAUUUCAAAAAUUUCAUCCCCGCCGUUGUGCCUGAGGGAUAUAAUGAAUUUUUCGUGUCUACCAUAAAUUUUCCUCUACCUUGUGUAUGAUAACUACCAUAUAUAUUCACCUACCUUUUGCAAGUACUCAUGUGCCUUUUGCACACUUUCAAAAAUCAAACCUUCCCAGUCGUUGCUAGGGAAUGACACUUUUCAAACUCAAAUCUUCCCUGCCGUUGCUAGGGAUUGACACUUUUCAAAUUCUAACCUUCCCAGCCGUUGCUAGGGAUUAACACUUUCAAAAUCAAACCUUCCCAGCCGUUGCUUGGGAUUUACAUUUUCAAAUUCAAACCUUCCCAGCCAUUGCUAGGGAUUGACACUUUCAAAAUUCAAAUCUCCCCAACCGUUGUUAGGGAUUAAUAUCUUUAGAUUUCAGGUAUUCCAACCAUUACUAGGAAGUGUCACUGAACUAAGACCUCCCCAGUCGUUGCUAGGGAUCUACACUUUUAGAUUUUAGGUUUUCCAGCCAUUGCUAGGAAGCGUCACUAAACUAAAACCUUCCUAGUCGUUGCUAGGGAUCUACAUCUUUAGAUUUCAGGUAUUCCAGCCAUUGCUAGGAAGCGUCACUGAACUAAAACCUCCCCAGUCGUUGCUAGGGAUCUACACCUUUAGAUUUCAGGUAUUCUAGCAAUUGAUAGGAAGCGUCACUGAACUAAAACCUCCCUAGUCGUUGCUAGGGAUCUACAUCUUUAGAUUUCAUGUAUUCCAGCCAUUGCUAGGAAGCGUCACUGAACUAAAACCUCCCCAGUCGUUGCUAGGGAUCUACACCUUUAGAUUUCAGGUAUUCCAGCUGUUGCUAGGAAGCGUCACUGAACUAAAAUCUUCUUAGCCAUUGUUAGGGAUUUUCACUAUCUUUCACAUAAGAAACUUAUCCCCAACGAAGUCAUGUUCCCUCUCAUCUUCCUUCUUGACCCUUUGUCAUGAAGCUUUUCUCUUUGUCUUCAAUUUAAAGAGAUACUUAUGUUACACACCAUAACAUACAUUGCAUAUCAUACACAUCAUGACAUAACCAUCAUACAGCUGACCCAUAUCCUCCCCACAUAAUACCAUAAACUAUCCUCAACAGAUGAUUUCAUAUCAAAUUUAUUUUCCAUCCCAUGAACAACCUUCACAAAUACCCAUCACUUCAUAUCACAUUCACUUCAUUCUUAGUAGGGUGAAUGUUUGGAUAUUUUUAUUUAUUUAAUCCUCUCUUACCUUGGAUGUGUGGAAGUCGUUGCUAUCUAAACAUUCAGGUUCGAGAAGAUUAAAUAGGGGCAGCUGUCAUACCCUAAAAUUCACCCUACCUCGAUACAAUUUUCAUUUGAUCCAUGACCCUACUGCACAUGCAUACAUUCAUUAUUUAAAAUAAAAAUAAAAAUUGGGUAACCGGUUACCCUAAUCAGGGUAACCGAUUACCCAGACCAAAAAUUGAUUUUUUGGCCAUUUUGGGACUGUGUAACCGAUUUACCCUAAUCAGGGUAACCGAUUACACCUGCGCAGACAGCACAAAUAACUCUAUUUUUUACACAAAGGACCUUUCGGUUCACCCCCUUCAACCCCUUUGCUUCCCUUAUAAAUAGAGCACUAUCCCCAUUCAUUUUUCAAGCUUUAAAGCCAUAAAACCUCUGUCCAAAUCACAUUCAAGCUCCCUCUUUUCAACCUAAACUCUAACUCACCCAAACCCUCUUUUCUCCUUUGAACCACCCAACGUGGUACAUUUUUAGGUGUUUGAGGUGUGUUGUUUUACAGUAGCAAGCUUGUGACCUUCACUUACAUAAUCAUUCAUCACCAUCACAUAAACAUACAACUUCCUUCCCUUCCAUUUUUCUAACAUAACAACCAUAGCCACCCUCUUCCAAGCUUUUUGCUUCACCCUCAAACCCAAACACAACAACAACCUAGUUUUGACACCACAAUAUUGGUAAUAUUUUGGACUCAAACUCCUUGACAUUUUUUUUGGUUUUGUUUUGUGUUUGGAAAUGGGUUUUUACUCUUGGGUUGUGUUUUGAGAGAGUUUUGAGUCAACUCUGAGACAAGUGUUUUUUUAUUGGGUUUACACCCUUUUGGGGAUUUUUUGCUCUUACUACUUUUUAUCCAUCAUUUUCAAUCAAACUUUAUUUCUUGUUAUCAUUUAUAUUUAUUGGUUGAUGAGAUUUAUUAAAUCAUGACUAUGGUUGUUUAGAGUUGAUAAAACCUUCAAUGUUUCAAACCUAUUAAUGAUUGAUCAAUAGAUCCUUCAUGAUACUUUGAGGCAUUGAUAGGUUGCCUCUAUUUCAACCAUGUUUGGGUCAUUUGAUACAUAGAUGAAACCAUUCUCUUUACAUUAACUUGUUAUUCUAUUUGCUUAUUGUUAUUCUACUAACCACUAACCAUUAACUACUAACUUCUAACAUUUAUAUUAUUGCACUUUACUUCCUUGCAAUUUAUUUUAUUAUUCACUAACCAUGGACUUAUGGUUGCAUAACUUUCUUUGUUACAAAUCUAUUCUUAGUUGAUUUUUCAAUCAUCUUCAAUACUUUGCAUCAAUGAUAAGAUAUCCCUUAAUGUGUCAUUUACAUUCACUAACCAUUAUUAUUGUGAUAUUAUCAUUCUUUAUCUUGUGAUUUACUUUUAUGUCAUUCCCUUGUAAUUUACAUUCAAGUACUCAUUAUCAUCAUUAUUGUACAAACUUAUCAUGCAUGUUUAUUUACUUGUUAUUUAUUUUAUUGUCAUCAUACAUUAAAAGCAACAAAAACAUGAUAAAAUGGAAAGACUAAAAAUAUUCAUUCCACUCUUAAUCAACUUGGACUUAGAGGAUUUCAUCUUAGGACCUUUGCUUGGAGGCCUUCCUUCACUCUUUGUGAUACUUUGUAAAAACUUAGAUUUUCAUUCGUAACUUACAUGCAUGUUGUAAGAAUGGCAUCAUGGCACCACCUUAGGGGGACAUGUUUGUAAGAUCAUUAUCCUUUGUUUAGCUUAGGUCACUUUUGCACACAAAAGACUUUCUCUUGGACUACCUUACAAUGAGACUCUUUAAUUUCUUGUUGGUUACUUUGCAUUCAUGUUGCAUAAGUCAAAUUUCAUAAUCAAAAUAAAACAAACCCUUGAUUCAACGUCAAGUGGCAUUUUUGUAGUCAAAUUCAAAACAUUUAAUAAUU